UUGCUUUUACCAAUAUAAAAAAAUUAUUUCAUUUUAUUUGAACACAAAAAACGUAAAAUUUAAGUGAAGGAGUAGGAUGUUAAACUCUAUUAAACAAAUACAAAGGAGUUUUUUGCCUCUCUCUCUUCUCUCAUAUCCAUCUUUCAGAGAGAGAAUGCUUUUUCUCCUUUGAUGUAUAUUCCGAUUAAUAUUGGAUCAAUAAUUUCCGUUUAACGGAUUUGGUUUUCCGACAAAGACCGAAUCUUUUGUGUUCGUAUUGAAUUUCCUUUGCUUGCUAAGAGUAAUAUUUCAUAUAUAAGAUCAAGCAAAAGGUUUUUCAAGUUCGGACUUUGUUUUUGUCUUUCUCUUUCCUCUAUUAGAGCUGCCCAUUCAUCUUUUCUUCAUGAAGCAGUGGCAAAGCUAAGAUCCGAUGACAGAGAGUAGAAUCUUCUACUUCUAAUGGUGGCAUCAUCCUAUCUGACCAGGAGUUAUGUCUCCUUUCAACCCUUUAAUGAAGCCUUUCAAGGUGUUGGGUGUUUGGUCACGUGUAUUUGAUGAUCGACAGUAAAAUUCUAUGGUGGUAUGAAGUUUUUCUGCUUGAAUCUGGAUUGGAUCUGCUCUUCGGAGGAUGGCGUUUUCGAUAAACAGCUGAUCGGUGUUUCACCGGAAUAAUUUCGAUAUGUUACUUUCGCCGGCGAGUUUGCAGCGACUACUCUUCAAUUUCUUUGACAUCAUGCAUUAUCACUUAUCUUAUUUUUUUGUGGUUUGUAAUAAUUUGAUUUACUUGGACCAAAUUUAUUCUUGGGUUUGUAAUCGAAAAUACAUUGGGUUUGUAAUCGAAAAUACAUGUAAUGCCUUUUGGGCUUUAAAUUAAUACAAAGACGACAAAAAAAAAAAUUCUAUUAAACAAAACUAUACAGUUUAUAAUAGGUUUUGGAUAAUCAAUAAUUUUACAAGUCUGGUCCAGAUUCGCUCCGGUUAACUCAUCUUCCAUUGGUUUGUGGUAGAACCCCGAUGAUAUAUCGAGGCUUCCAAAAAUUGACGGGCAGGCCCAACCAAAGUAAGGCCAGGCCCACUCGCCUUUCAAAUUUAUGUCCGUCAAAUUUGGUGGCACGAUCCGCCGUCUCUAUGCGAUCAUUGGCGAAUCAUCCAUUUCCUCUGACAGAAACGGGUUACUUAUUUUUUAAAAACUCGUCCCAAUUUAUAGCCCCUAGUGAAAUCAAUCCUUUCCCAAAACUACCGAUGUGGGAUGAAUAAUGUUGACACAUAAAAUAUUUCCAGUUUUAUAUCUCGAUAGCUGUAUUUUCAAAAACAGUGAUUUAAAAAGUUUGAUAGAAGAAUAAAGUGAAGUGUAGUCAUCUUCUUUAUUGUUUUUUUUUUCUUUUUUUUUUUUAAAUCAACCGCCAUAUCUGGACUUGAGAGCCUCAGGUGGUUCUUCUUCCAUGAUUCCAGAACCCCUGCUGCUUAAAUACUCUCUGAUGGUUGUUCUUCUAUCUCCCAAGAAUGUGUGAUCAAGAAAGUUAUUGUAAGCUUCAUCUCCCAGAUUCUUAGCUGCCAAUACACUGCAACACAAAAACAAAAAUCCAGAGUUUGAAGUUUGAUUUCAGCACACCCAAAUAUGCAAUCUUUGCACUGUGAUUUACCCAUCCAAAAUUCAUUCGAAGCUAAUUCAAGAAACCAAGUUAUAGCGCAAGAAUCAAUUAUUAGUUUGUUAUCUCAUUCAUUUGAAACAAGUCUGGAAAUUAUGGGAGUGAGAAAGGAGACACGGUACCAGUGUCUUAGAUAGAGACGACAAGGUAAGAUGUCGUCCCGCCAUAUCUUAUCAAUGUUGAAUCUUCCGUAAUGGUGAAAGUAAGUCUCUUUGUUUCCUGCAGAUAACAAAGGUAAAACAUAUAACAACAGCUUGAGCUUUUGAGACAUUUUAGAUAGACUGACAAGGGACUAACCUUUGCAUCUAAUUCGGAAAAAGUCCUCAUCACUGUAUCGACCACAAAGUACCUGUUUCAUGCCUCAAAAACUUAGAGACUUUACCACGUAAAUGUAGCUGAGGAGAAAAAUCGACGAACCGCAGAAUUGGUGAAAGGUUUGCCUUCCAUUGUUUCAGGAACAACCUAAUGUGUUGAGGAGGAAUAAAAUCAGAAGAGUUAAACAAAUAAGGCAUAACUUUUACUGAAUAUCUUAAGAAAGAGGAGCUAGUGACUCACAGCAAGAAACCGGAACUCUAGCUCCCUUUGUAUGAAAGCCGGAAUCUGUAUAUCGAAAUCGUCAGAGAGUAUUUAUAUCUAUACUAAUGUCACAAGAUUGAAGUAAAUGGAAGCAAUUUUCAAGUUAUCUAUGUAUGUACCUCUGUUCUGUUUAUCUCAAAGACACUCACUACAAGACUCUCUCCUUCACAUGGCUCUACACUCAAGCUUGAGAUCUCCUGUUUACAUUACACUUUUCAUGAUUGGUUUCUCCUAUUUAGACAAACUAUAUACGGACAAGGAAGAACUCAGAGUCUUUGUGUCUACUCCAAAUCAAUAUCCAUAAACUGAAAGCUUCAAAAUUUCCAUGCUUUUUCGAGGAACCUUUUCGUUAAAUCCAUUUUUCAGAAUGAGCAAAGUCGAAAAGAGGGACCUUGGUUUCAGGAUUUGCGAUCCCGCGCUCGAAGAAGAUCGGAGCAGAGUGGGCGAAUACUCGCCGGAAUCCUUCAAGUUUCGCGGUUCUGAAAUUCUCCAAAUCCGGGAAAGUACUCCUCGCGCUUCUCUCUGGAGAAGAAAAGUAAUCAAUUUUUCCAAUGACACCAUGAUCAAAUCAGGAAGAAAGAAGAUUAAAAAUGUACUCACCGGAGAGAAGAGAACCGAAGCCAGUGAUGGAGAUCCGAUUAUCCGAUGAGAGAAGCUUUUCGAAAUCAGAUUCAUCUACCAAUUCGAUCGCCUUCGGCGAAUCGGAACCGCUGAUAUCACGGGACAUGGCUUCAAUUGAUCGCCGGCGAUCUUGUCGAAGAAGCUCCGGUCUUCUGGAAAGAGACAGAUAGGCGGUGAUACCAGGUGGAGAGGCGCGUGAUUUGCACGUAGUAGAGGGAAGCGCGUAGAAGGAAGGUAAUGAUGUGAGUGUGAGUGAGAGUGAGAGUGAGAGAGCAGUCAUCGGAGAAGAAGAAGAAAUGUGAAGUAGGUUAAGGGUAGUAAAACAUAAAGAGAUAAGUUUAUUUAAGUCCAUUAAAUUAUGAUUAGUCUUAAAUACAAAACUAUCAUUUUGCAAGGAAGAAUGUACAUAGGACUUAGGAGUCAUUCUUUAAACCCAUAAAAGCUUUGUCUAUAACAAGAGGAUACAAAAGGGACGAUAUAGCCUAAGCAGAAACUGGAGUUUUGAUGAGGUUUUUCCUCAUCUUCCAUUGUUUAAUCUUUGCCAACGUCUUCUCCACCUUCAAAAUACGUGCUUCCAGCUUCAGUGCUAGCUCCUCUAUUGCAAGUUUCCUCAGCUUCCAUCUUUCAUCAUCAUCUUCUUCUUCCUUCUCAGCUGCUCCAUUAGAAGGAUCUGCUGAGUUUUUUUUAUCACUCUCUUCACUCAUUUGCUUUAUUUCUGUUGUUGCUACAGUUUCAGCUCCAUAGGCAAGCUUUUGAGCAAGGCCUGAAACAUUGGAAUCCACCUCAGGUCCACCAUAAGCAUCUCCUCCUCCUUCAGUAUUCUCUACAUCAUCACCACACUUCUUUUUAGAAUUGAUAAUCUGAGCUGUGGUAAUGUUAUCGUCUUUUUCCUUCUCAGCUACUCCAUUAUUAUCUCCAGAAGAGCUGUUGUGAUUAUCUCCAGAAGCAACCUUUUGAGGAAGGUCUGAAGCAUUGCAAUCAACUCCAAGUCUACUUCUUUCUCCUCCAGUACCCUUUACAUCGCCACACUUCUUUAUAGAUUUGAUUCUCUGAGCAAUGGUGGUGUUAUCGUCUUCUUCUUCAUCUUGCAUAUGAAAACAAUCCAUAGCACUCUCGUUGUCAUCCUCACCAGCGCUAGCGCACUUGCGUCUCUUGUUUUUCAACUGCUCAGUUUUUUUCUUUCCAUCUCCUAGCUUUUCAAACACUUGGCUCAGUGGCACUACCUUAAGAGAUACAUCAUCAUCACUAUCGUCAUAGUGAUCAACUGUAUUGCUUGCAUUGAAAGUUUCGGCUGGUUCUUUCUGGAUUUUGGAAACUGAUUUCAUCCACCAGUCUCGGUAUCUGGCAGCAGUAACGGAAGCUUUGGUAAGGCGAGAAGGAAUGCAUUGCUUUGAACCAUCAAGAGGCCUAUUGUGAUCCUCCCUUGCUUCCUUUUCUGUGAAGUUGCUCCUAUGAUUAGUAACUGAAACAGGAAUAUCUUGAGCCAAUCCGAAUUGCAUUCCUACUCGAUUUGGAUAGUAAUCCUCUGUAAAAUCAAUCCCAACAAGCUUGGAAACUCUCACACAUCGAGCAAACGAAACAAGCUCAUCAUCAUCAUCAUCAUCAAGACUGUUACCAUCAAUGCUUAUCCUCUUAGCUUCUUCACUGUAGAACCGAGGUGGGUUCCAGUUCAUUAACGGUUUAGUAUAAGGACGACAAUCAAAAUCAUCAAGAAGAAACAGUCCCACGUUCUCAAGCUUCUGUUUCAGACCGCUCCAUUGAGCAAUUCUAGGUUCACCCCUUGGUAUCAGUUUAGCUUGUGGUCUUAUGCUCUUGAAUCUCUCCCAUGUCCAUACUUGAACUAGUUUAAGUAGAGAGUGGAGCCUAACUUUUUGAUUAGAGGCUAAAGCAUGGAUUUUACCCAAAUCUCUGUAGACGUUGGCAAGAACAGCAGGCGCAAGAGAAAUCCUUUCACCUCUAGCUAGACGAACAGCGAUAGGGAAAACAGCUUUUGAAAUCGAACAACCAGACUUAUCAGGAAACACAAAAUUCGAAAGCCAAAAAACAAGGAAAGCUUCAUGCUCCAUUUGAUCAUCUACAAAGCUUGAAAUCCAUGAAAACUGCUUCACACUCUCCUUUCUUCGUCUCUCCAGUUUCUCAACGGCUUCGUCCAUCUCUGAUCUUUCGAGAGGAGCAGAGACAGACGAACCCAGAACAGAAAAACCCAGAAGCACAGUUACAUCCUCGAGGGUUAUCGUUGCUUCACCCCAAGGGAAGACGAAGGUUCUGGUUUCAGGGCUCCAUUUUCGAGCGAGAGAUAGAAUCAGAGAUGUGUUUUUGUUGAUUUUGUAAGUCGAUGCUUGAAUUGCUUCAAAGAUUCCAGCUUUUAUCCAGGUGGGUUUGUGCAAAGCAGCCAUUUUUCGAAACCAAGACUUGAAUUUUUGGUUCGGUAACCUCCAACCACAAAAGGUUACGCACAAAGGCGACGCCUUUAAGUCAGAACAAGGAGCUGGACGACGAAUAGCUUCAGACCCAUUAUGGUGUUCCAGAAAAUGGGUUUUUCUGAUGAUAGGUAGAUUGUUGUUACUCUCACUGGGAAACACCAUCAGCUCUUCUCUCUCUUCAACACCAUUUGCAUCAAUGGAUGUUGAUUCCAUUUGGAGAAGAUGAAGAAGAUUGAAAAGGAAGAAAACACCUCUAUCUUUUGAAACCUAGAAAUGUCUUUCUUUCUUUUUCUGGCUCAAGAAAUGUGUUGUUGUCGUUCUCUUUAUUUUUUUUCUUUAUUUUUAUUUUUGUUUUUCCUACGUUUGAACAUUGAAAGACAAGCCAGAAAAUAUGUUCCAGGUUGCAGCUAUCGAAUAGUCAGUACACCUAAAUAAAUACAAAGAUUUUUUAAUGUUUCCAUAACAUAUCCAUAAGUUUCUAAAAAAAAACUCCAAUAUUUUGCAAAAAUUACCUUUUUUUUCUACUCCUCUUUUGUUUUUAAAAAUUGAUUAAAGGCCUAAAAAAGUUUUUAUCUUUCUCGAAGUUUAAUGUUCAAAGAUGUAUCGUUAAUUAGUAAAACUUCCUGUGGUAAUAGUUUCUAAGAUCAGCGAACCAAGGAAAAUUGUGCAAAAUACAGAAAGACAAAACUUUUUGGGUUUAUUAAAAAAGCAAAAGCAAACUGAGAUCCAAACAAAAUACAGAAGAUUAAUACUGGGAGUUUUCUUCUACAAGGAAACUCCAUAUUUUAACCCCAAUUUUUUUCGCAACAGAUCUCACUUCUUCGCCUUCUUCUUGGUUACCCUGAAGAAAAGAAAGAAACCUCAUUAACUGGAUAGCUAUUUCACAAGCUUUAUCAACAACGGCUCAUGAAGAAUAAUGCUAACACAUUGUUCAACAAGUCUUUGACAGGGGCCAAAAGAUGAAUCAAGAAGAACACAUUGUUCAAACUAAAGAGACAGGUUUCUUACUCUGCUUCCUGUUGUGUUGCUGGUGCGGUAACUGCUGCUUUCUCUCCUCCAGGUCCCUAUGAGAUAUCCAAUAUAUAAGGAAACCAAAACCAAAACCAGUGCAUAGUAGAGCAAUAAAAUACCCCAAAUCAAAAACUAAAAUAAUCACAAAGAUGGUGAUUCUGUGAUUUUAAUACCUGAGCCAAACGCUCCUCUCUUCUGGCAAACUUCCUCUCCCUGCUUGCCUUGUUCUUGAUGCGCUUGGCCUCAAACUGGUCAGCGAGUGUCUUUUCUCUUGCUCUCUCGGCCUUUAGCUUGUGGAUGCUUUCCAUAAGAACACGCUUGUUCUUGAAAACGUUUCCUUUCACCUUCAUGUACAUGUCGUGGUACAUGUGUUUAUCGAUCUUCUUGGUCUCUCGGGACUUGCUUAGAAAGCGUCUCAACACCCUCAUUCUUCUCAUCCAAAGAAUCUUCGUUGGCAGCCUCGCCUCCCUUGUACCCUUUCUCUUACCUGAAACCAAAGAAAAAACAAUUCUUUGAUUGUUAACCAAAGCAGAGUAGUAGACAUAGCAAAAUGAAGAGACUUUACAAUACAGCGUUUCUAUUCAAACUUACCGUAACCAGAGUGACGACCCUUUCUCUUAGCCUCGUUCAUUCUCCUUGCACGAGAGCGUGAGUGGAUCUUGGUGGGUUUCCUGAUAAUGAAACCAUCCUUCACCAACUUCCUGAUGUUCUGCCCUGUUACAGACAAUCAGAACAAAAGAGGGCUUUAGAAGACUCAACACAUCAUGAAGAUACUAAGGGACUCUAAAAAAAGAAAACAGCUAAAAGAGCUUGAGCAAAGGGAAGCUACGUAAACAAAUAGAUGGUGAAGGGAGCUUGAUCAGAGGUGGAAAGUGGAAACUUAAGCUCAAAAGGGGCUUGAUGCAGAAUCACUCAGAAAUCAAAUGAACACUUAGCAUCAGAAUAACUCCUAAUUCCAAUCUAAUAUCCGUGUAACACAAAUUCAUCAAUCUAAUUUCAACAAAAAGUAAAAAAAAAAAAACAUAACUUAAUAGAGAGAGAGAGAGCGAGAACUCAAAAGUCAAAAUCUUACUGGAAUUGGCCAUGGAGAUAUCGCUAGACUCAUUGGGAUCAAGCCACACUUUUCCCUUGCCACAUUUCAUCACGCUUGCGGCAAGCCGUUUCUGGAGCUUGAGUGACACCAUUGCUUCUCCCCGUCACCUCCUCUUCGCCUUCUCACCGUCACUAUUAGGGUUUUUGUGGUUUAUCACUAUUCACUUUGACUCCGGUUUCACUGCGGUACCCGUUUUGUUAACCGAUCUUUUUUCAUGGGCCGAAACAACCCGACCCGUUUAAUAUGUGGUUAAUAAGGCCACAUUUGUUUUUUUUAUUCAUUAUUUUGAAAAUCUUUAGUUAUAAAGAAAAUUACUACGAAUUUCUCGUUUUUUUUGUUCUUAACAAAUUUUAAUUUAAUAUUGAUAUUUAGAAAAUUAAAUCAUGUGUUAGAGAUUGCUCAUCCGACACAUUACAAUCGAGCAUUAGAGCUAACUAGCUUUCCGCAUUGGUACCUGGAAAAAAAAAACUGAUUUGCCCAUGGUCAUCACAACCGUAAAAAGAAGAGUAUAUUUUCCUUAUAAAAGGAAAAAAACUUCACAAUGUCUCGUAUGUUCAUAAAUUAUCUAUGUCUAUUAGCUAUAUGUCGGGUAUUAAGCCCAUUAAGUCCAUAUUAUCUAAUGUUGUGUUAAUAAUGUUAUAUUACCUUUGUCCCAUGUCAGAAACUAAUGUUGUAUUAAAUCCAUAUUAUCAUGUAUAUAAGCUCAAGUUUGUGCAUCUAAUGAAAUCACGUCAGUUUCCAAGAGUUCAUCAGUAUUUUGUUAAAGAUGGGUAGUGGAAAAAAUUCAUUAGUGUCCAAGAGUUCUGUCUUUAGGCUUUGAAUAUCAAAGCACUGAGAUUGUCCGAACCAUCCAACGUGUAUGGUAUGAAUCUAAACACUCGUCACUGGCAAAACUCUUGGAUACUGAUGAAUCUUUUUCACUAUCCAUCUUUAUUAAAUCUCAUUAAAAAUAACAAAGUAUGUAAAAAUAACUUUCGAACUUCAAAAAACAAGAAUUUUAAAUAUCAAACAAAAAUAAUAUUACGUCUCAGAAUUUUUUAGCUCUGAUAUUAUGUAGAUUUAGAUAUUGAACUGACUUAAUUUCAUUAGAUGCACAAAAUUGUGUUUAUAUACAAGAUAAUAUAGACUUAAUACAACUCUAGUUUCCCAUGUGGGACAAAAGUAUUAUAACAUUAUUAACACAACAUUAGACAAUAUGGGCUUAAUGGGCUUAAUACCCGACAUAUAGCUAAUAGACAUAGAGAAUUCAUGAACAUACGAGACAUUGUGGAGUUUUUUUCCUUCUAUAAAGAAAAUACACUCUUUUUUCUACCGUUGUGAUGAUCAUGGGCAAAUAAAGUUUUUUUUUUGGUUAAAAUGAGCAAUAAGUUAAACUAACAUAACAAAUUUGAAAACCCACAACACUAUGUUCAUAGAGAAUUCAUGAACAUACGAGACAUUGUGGAGUUUUUUUCCUUCUAUAAGGAAAAUACACUCUUUUUUCUACCGUUGUGAUGACCAUGGGCAAAUAAAGUUUUUUUUUUGGGUUAAAAUGAGCAAUAAGUUUAAACUAACAUAACAAAUUUGAAAACCCACAACACUAUGUACAAAACAAGCAUAUGCUAAAGUCUAUACAUCAUCAUACAAAGUUUUAACGUCACUAUUGUGCGGACCAUUGCCUUGUAAUUAUAUCCAAAAGCAAACUACCGAUUCGCUGCAAAAAUGAGCUAACCAAGGUUGAUAUGCAACUUAAAACCCUGGUAUAAUUAUAUAUAUAUAUAUAUAUAUAUAUAUCUAUAUAAUUUUAUUUUAUUUUGGUUGAAAUCUGGUAGCAAUAUUUUGAUGAACUUUUUACAUGAUUCUUUGUAUAUAUCUACAUCAUACAUGCAUAUUAAUGUAUGCAUGUACUAUGUAAUGUAAGCAUGCAUAGAGAAUCUGCUUUGGAAAGGUUAAAUGCACUGGGGAAGAAGAAAAAGAGAAAGGUUGCUAAGUUUUGGUCUUCAUUAUUAUAUUCUUUAUCAUUUCUUCUCAUUUUAGCAUCUAAUUCAACUCUCUACUUAUUCCUUUAGAUCUGCUUUCCACAAAUCUUUCCUCUGGAAGAAUUUCCCCUUCGUUAUUCUCUCAUUAGUAUCCCAUUCAACACUCUACUAUUAUUCCUCGACAUUGUUUUAUAUAUAUAUAUAUAUAUAUAUAUCUAUUAUAUUAAAACAGAAGCACAUUUAGUACUUGCUUCCAAACAUUCCUAAUUUUUUUUAAAGUGUUUAAAAAUAAUUUUAAUAAUUAUUUAUAUUUAAUUUUGAAAAUUAGUUAUUAAUUUAAAUUUUUUUAGAGUUCCUUAAAUAUAGGUAAUUUAGAUUUGAUUUGAUUUGAUUAAAAAUAAUAAAUCAGAUAUUAAUUUAGAUUUGAUUUAAAGAUUCUAAUUUAAAUAAUUUCUAUACUAUUAAACAUUUUUAUCAAAAAUAUCUAGAAUUUUUGAAAAAAAAAUUCACAUAUAAAAAAUAAUGGUCAUAUUUGAAAUAUAAAAUAUUUAUAAUGAUAUAAAUGAUAUGAUAUUUAUGUUGCUUAUAUAAUAUAUUUACGAUUAUGAUUUAUUUACAAAUUAAUAAUAAAAUAAUAAGUAAAAUUCAAAUGUAUAAUUUAAAUAUUAAAAAUAUAUUUUUUAAAAUUCAUAGAACUAAAAAUAUAUAUAAAAAACCGGGUUAAAAAUAUUUUGGUAACUAAAAUCACUAAUUUUGAAUUAUACAUGCAUGUAUAUCGAAAAUAUAUUUUUCAUACAAAAUCAAAACAUAAAAAAUUAAAAAUUAUUGCAUACACUAUAAUGUGGUUUGAAAAACCAGUUGUACACUCCCUUCGUUGAUUAAAUUUUAGAAAACUAUAAUGCUAAAUAAUACUGUUAAUACAUCUCAAACUUUUAACAAAUAAUUAUAUUAUACGGUAAUAUGAACGGAAAAGUUAGAAUUAUGUUUUUAUAAUAGUUCAUUAUGAAUUAAUAUUAGUGAAUGGGUUAAAAUUAUAUUUUUAUAAUUAUAAUUAAUUUUAAUACUAUAAAAAUAUAUCUAAACACAAAAAUCAAUAUUUUCACUUAUUAAAAAAUAUAUUUAUAAAAAUAAUUAUAUCUAAACUCAAAAACACAAAUUAUAUUAUAAAAUUCGUUAAACAAUAAAAAAUAUUCUCGUGCGGAUGCACGGGGUUAGAAUCUAGUUAUAUAUAUUAAGGAUGUUGUCUUCUAAUGAUUAUCGUUAAUAGAAAUACGUUUACGAGUUUUUAAAAAAAAAAAAACAAAUUUAGUAGUAUAUAUUUGUAUUCUACCAUGCAUUUAAAAAAUAAACGAACAAUAUUGGGUUCACUUUAAAUUUUUUGUUUUAAGUAUCAUAUAGUUUCAUUUCAAAAAUGUUAAUAACCAAAAAAAUAAAGAUUAAGUAGUAAAAUACACAAACAUGAUCUGUAUUUCACUAUAUCAGUCAUAAUAAUAAGGGUAACUUACUUUGAUCCUCUGUCUGAGGAAUUUAUAGGCUUCAAACGUAUAAUUUCUCUAUUACAUAAACAAAUUAAACAACUUAAAUAGUUGGCAAGAAGUUAUAAUAAUCAAAUAAAGCUGAAUCUUGAUUCUCUCUUCCUGGUAUUUGCUUUUGACUUCUGACUCAGCGAAUACAGAAUUUUGAAUUUCUCUCUAGUUAUUCACUUAUUUCUGUCGGGUUUGAAGUUUGACCGAGAUUUGAAAUCGAAAUUGACUUAGAUCACGAAUAUAUAUCUAGUGUUAUAACACAUAUCAUAUAUGGACUCUUAUACCGGCCCAUUAGGCCCAUCAGGGCAUUGUACUUAAUCUAGAUUCGCUAUGUACUCUAUAUAUACAUUCCAGUGAUUAAUAAAGUUUCUAAGUUUUCACAACACGUUAUCAGCACGAUAAGACUCUCUGAGCGAAAAACCCUAAUAAAUCCGGCCACCACCAAAACCCUAAAAGCAAGUCGAAACUUAAAAGACGCAUAUCUUCCAAACCGUGAGGAACCAGAAGACGAUCUACAUAUCAAAUCGAAGCCCUCGACGAGACGAAUCUACUGGUGAAAACCGUUUGUCGAUCCAACGUCGGACGCGCCCUCACGCACACUUACAGUACACGACGAUCAACCGAAAAAAAAAAAAACCAGAUCCGAGUUUUUCCUUCUUCAACCAGCAGCUUCUCCAGUUUUGGUGAUCAAUCCUUGGAAUUUGUAGCGGCUAACUGAGGUCUAUUAGCUCCCAGUUUCAUUAGCCUGUCAGAAAUCCAAAGAUGGAAAAGCAUACCAGCAAAUGGAAACCAUAGUCGUAGAUAGUGGAUCCAGCCACACUAUCUUAAGAAACAAAAGUUACUUCAUAAACCUAACCUAUCAAACCGCAAAUAUUAGCACCAUCGCGGGUCCCUCAAACCUUAUCGAAGGAAAUGGCCAUGCCUAUGUGUUGCUAUCAAAUGGCACACAACUUGAAAUACCAGAUGCUCUAUAUUCUCCUAGUUCGAAGAGAAAUCUUCUGAGCUUCAAGGAUAUAAGACAGAAUGGUUUCCACAUAGAAACCCAAGGUCAAGGGAACAAAGAAUCCCUCCUAGUCACUAAAACCGUAGACGGCCAUAAACAAAUCCUCGAAACCAUACCCGCGCUCUCUACUGGACUUUACCAUGCUAAAGUCAGUAUGAUUGAAGCUAAUACCACUCUCAAAGCCCGGUUUACUGAUUAUACUAUUUGGCACGACCGGCUCGGUCAUCCCGGUGCAAAUAUGAUGCGUAAACUAAUUCAAAACUCUCAAGGGCAUACCCUCAAAGAAAACCGAGCUUAUCCUCAACACCUCAUGUGCACAGCUUGUUCUCAAGGCAAAUUGAUCACUCGGCCUUCACCAGUUAAAAUCUCUAAACAAACACUUCAUUUCCUAGAAAGAAUCCAGGGCGAUAUCUGUGGACCUAUACAUCCAUCUUCCGGACCAUUCCGGUACUUCAUGGUCCUUAUAGACGCAUCGACCCGUUGGUCAUAUGUUUGUCUCUUGUCCUCUCGGAACCAAGCCUUCGCUAGGUUCUUGGCCCAAAUCAUAAAAUUGCGGGCCCAUUUCCCUGACUUCCCACUAAAGACUAUCCGCCUUGACAAUGCUGGUGAAUUUACCUCACAAGCGUUUAAUGACUACUGUAUGGCCAUGGGGGUAACCGUGGAACAUCCUGUACCACAUGUCCAUACUCAAAAUGGAUUGGCUGAAUCAUUCAUUAAACGCAUUCAAUGGAUAGCCCGACCAUUACUCAUGAGAUCAAAGCUCCCGGCCUCAGCAUGGGGACAUGCAGUAUUACAUGCUGCUGAACUCAUACGCAUCCGGCCAUCUAGUGAACACAAAUAUUCCCCAUCCCAACUACUCUCGGGUCAUGAGCCAGACAUCUCCCAUCUCAAAACAUUUGGGUGUUCAGUAUAUGUACCCAUUGCUCCACCACAUCGAACCAAAAUGGGACCUCAAAGAAGGAUGGGAAUAUAUGUUGGUUUUGACUCUCCCACCAUCAUAAGAUAUCUCGAGCCAACCACUGGAGAUCUCUUCAAGGCCAGAUAUGCGGAUUGCCAAUUCGAUGAAUCGGUAUAUCCUUCUUUAGGUGGUGAGACAAACAAGCUGGUCAAAGAUCUUUCAUGGAAUCAAACAUCAUUAAAUUGGCAAGAUCCUCGGACUCUAGAAUGUGAUUCAGAGAUCCAAAAGAUUAUUCAUUAUCAAAAGCUAGCUAAUCAAUUGCCAGAUUCCUUUGCUGACCCGACCAAAGUAACCAAAUCGUACAUCCCAGCUUGUAAUGCACCAGUACGAAUAGCUGUCCCAACGGGACAGACCCAAGUUGCUACAGAGUCUGCACCACGUCUCAAACGGGGCAGACCUCUCGGUUCCAAAGAUAAGAAUCCCCGGAAAUCAAAGAAAGGUGCAAUAACCGAAACCGGGAUUCCUGCAAUAUCAGACAUAGCCGCGGCUGAGACUCAAUCUAAUGAACCCUCAAUGGAAGUUCGGGACGCCGAAUCUCCAGGUUCAGAAGAUAACAAUGAGAUCUCCAUCAAUUACAAUAUGUCCGGAAUACAAUGGAAUCGAAAAGAAGUCGACUUAAAUGCACUAUUUGCAUACAAAGUAGCACUUGAUGUUGCGCUCACGCAAGAGGAUCUAGAACCCACGUCAAUAACACAGUGUACACAUCGAACAGAUUGGCUAAAAUGGAAAGAAGCCAUAAACGUGGAGUUAAAGAGUCUCAAACUCAGAAACGUGUUCGGUCCGAUCAUCCCGGACCCCAUCACACAUCAAGCCAGUGGGCCACAAAUGGGUCUUUGUGCGCAAAAGGAACGAACUCGGUGAAGUCGUUCGAUACAAAGCACGGCUUGUAGCACAAGGAUUCUCACAGAGACCCGGAAUCGAUUAUGAGGAGAUUUAUUCUCCAGUGGUGGAUGCAACAACAUUCCGAUUCCUCAUAAGUCUGGCCAUAAGAGAAAAUCUUGAUCUGCGGUUAAUGGAUGUUGUAACCGCAUAUCUCUAUGGGCCCCUGGACAACGAAAUAUAUAUGAGACUCCCAGAUGGCAUUGAACUAAAAGACAAAAAUGCAUCUCGAGAUCAAUACUGCAUCAGGCUGAACAAAUCCUUGUAUGGACUGAAACAAAGUGGGCGUAUGUGGUACAACCGCCUCAGCGAUUACCUCAUCAAAGAAGGCUACAAAAAUGACCCCAUCAGUCCAUGCAUCUUCAUCAAGAAGUACUCAAACAAAGGAUUUGUAAUCAUAGCAGUAUACGUGGAUGAUCUAAACAUCCUCGGAACAUCUGGUGAGAUCUCCCAAACAGUCGACUGCUUAAAAGCAGAAUUCGAAAUGAAAGACCUAGGCAAAACAAAGUACUGUUUGGGAUUACAACUUGAGUACAUCAAAGGAGGAAUCCUUGUGCAUCAAUCGGCUUAUAUCGAAAAGGUACUCAAGCGAUUUAAUAUGGACCAAGCUCACCCAUUGACCAGCCCAAUGGUAGUUAGAAGCUUAAGUGAUGACCCUCUUGGUCCCAAAAAGGAUGAUGAAGAAAUCCUUGGUCCUGAAAAGCCAUACCUCAGUGCUGUAGGAGCGUUAAUGUACCUGGCUAGUCACACUAGACCAGACAUAUGUUUCGCCGUGAACCUCCUCGCUCGAUAUAGUUCAUCUCCAACUCAGAGGCACUGGAACGGUAUAAAACAUCUCCUAAGAUACCUUCGAGGUACUCAAGACUUAGGACUCUUCUAUACUAACCAAAAUAAAGAUGGGUUAGUCGGCUUCGCCGAUGCAGGAUAUCUAUCAGAUCCGCACACUGCCAAGUUUCAAACUGGCUACGUUUUUACGCAUGGAGGAACAGCAAUCUCUUGGAGAUCAAUGAAGCAGACACUCACUGCCACUUCAUCAAACCAUGCUGAAAUCCUAGCCAUUCAUGAGGCUAGUAGGGAAUGCGUCUGGCUGCGCUCCAUGACUCAGCACAUCCGCAGAGAUUGUGGUAUGGACGAAGACACACAGCCCACGGUGAUGUAUGAAGACAACGCGGCAUGCAUAGCUCAGCUCAAGGAAGGAUAUAUCAAAGGAGAUCGGACGAAGCACAUUCUACCGAAGUUCUUCUCAACCUCAGACUGGCAGAAGGACGGCACUCUCAGCGUUCAGCAGGUCUGAUCCAGUGAGAAUUCAGCUGACCUCUUCACCAAAUCAUUGCCUACUUCAACACACUGGAAGCUCGUCAAACAGAUAGGAAUGUAUAGACUUAGAGAUCUGCAGUGAUGCUACAAUUAGGGGGAGUAAUGCGUGUUGUACUCUUUUUCCUUCACCAUGGUUUUGUCCCACUGGGUUUUUCCUGGUAAGGUUUUAAUGAGGCAACAUUCCCCAGCGCAUUAUCGAGAUCCCGAUUGAAUAGCUGACCCGGUUCACUCGUCCAAGGGGGAGUGUUAUAACACAUAUCAUAUAUGGACUCUUAUACCGGCCCAUUAGGCCCAUCAGGGCAUUGUACUUAACCUAGAUUCCCUAUGUACUUUAUAUAUACAUUCCAGUGAUUAAUAAAGUUUUUAAGUUUUCACAACAUCUAGUUGAUUUUCUUUUCUUUCGAUUUUUGUUGCUUAUAUAUCUACUAGGCUUUUUUUUUUCAAAUGGUAACAAGUAGUCCACGAAGUCUACUGAAAUCUACUGGUUACAAAUUUUUACAAAUUUUUAAAAAAGUUAAUUGCAAAAUUAACUUUAUGUUGACUAGUAGACUUCAAGUUGAAGUCUUCUUUCGCAAUACAGAUAUAGAUAUUACUAAAAUUGAAGUGUAUCAUUACCUAUAUUGAUUUUGAGUUCGUUUUUAGGUCUCUCUUGCACACAGUACUCUGAAUUUCACCGAAAAGAAACAACCCAAGUUAUGGUUAUGCAAGAAUCACCAAAAAUGCAUUAGUUAUGACAUUAUAAAUCAAUCCAGAAGUUUUGGAGAUGAAAUUAGAAAAGAAUAAGAAAGAUUAUGAGUAUAUGAGCUCUGAUAUUUAGUUAUUAGAGUUUUAUAAUUGGUUGAGAAGCAUUUAAAGUUUGAAUCUGGUUAUUCAUGAUGGUUGGAAGUAUUGAAGAAGAUGACAUUUUCAUAAUAAAGAGGGGUUUAGGAGGUCCAAGGAGUCUUUGUGUAAUAUUUUUAAAAUCAAAAUAAUGGAUAUAUAAUGACAUUUUCGUUAAUAGAUAGAGAGAGAAUGAUAGAAUUGUGACAAAAUGACAAAAGUUAAAGAGAAAAAAAAUGUUAUUUUGGUGUUUGAUUUUUUAGAAGAAGUUAAAUCUGAAAUUUUCCCAAUUAUAUUUAAUAUUUGUCUAUAAACAUCAAACAUCAGAAGCUGAUGGGGCAUGCUCAACUCCUAGCGUCUUCUUAAAAAAAAUGGAACGAUCGAGCACAAACAUAUCAUGAAAACUAGAGAAGUAUCAUCAAAGUCGUCGUAUUAUGACAAGCAAGCUGGGGUCACCACUGUCUCGCGCACCUAAAGAUUCACUUUUCACAAAUUGGUUCUAAAUUUCAGAAUUUUGAGUCUACACCCGUCGCACAUGUUUCAAUCCUAUAUACUGGAGUUCAAAGUUCAUUUAAGAUCUUAGUAUUCUGUCUUGUCUUCCUUUGUUGAAACAGUAUUUUUAUGGCCCCCUUUGUAAUGUCUGAUUUCAGUUUCAAUAAAAUUAAUGAUAUAAAUAAAAAGAGGAUUAUCUAAAAAAAGCGAGUGUUCAUAUCAUGUAUGCAAAGUCAAGGCAAUAACUCCUAAAAGAUAUGCCAACAGAAAAUCAACCAAAAGACUGAAAGAGUACGUUGGUUCCUUUGGUACUAUUUUUUUUUUUUUGUCAAAACCUUUGGUGCUAUAUAAAGGGGGCCAUUGGCUUUCUUUAUCAAACGAAACACAUAGAAACAAAGAGAGGACACAAAACUAAAAACACAUUUUCUUUCUCUUCUUUGGUCUUCAAUGGCUCAAAAUGAUCAGAAUACAAGAAUCGCUCAAAAGGCCGAUAAGGUGUAUGGUAAGUCCCAUAAACCCUAAAUCACAUGUUCCUAGAGACGAUUUCCCUUCUCGUUUUAACCAAAAUGCUUAAAUAUGGUGGUCCAGGAUUUUAUACCGUAAAAGAGGCAACUAGUACUAUUACUGCUCGUCGAGUCACUUAUCAAUAUUCAAGUGCAUCAACUAUAACAAAACCAGUUGUUUAUCAUCCCACAGAUCAAAUUCAAUACUUUAGUUGUGCACGUCCUUUUAUUGACCAAGCUGACUGGUUUAAGACGCCGAAAGAACGAGCCAUUACCUGCGACGAGGCGUUCCUGCGCUAUGGAGGGGUGCUUAUAAAGGAAUUUCGUUAUUAAGCAGGCUAGAAACUCGAUUUACGUGUCAAAGUAAGUUAUAAGAAUGUGUGACAUAUAUAUGUGCUAUAACGAUAUUCACAUUAAAAUAAGGUUUAGAAUUUUUAGCUAGAUACUACUAAGUGUUUGGAUCUGCAAUGUAUUCAAAGUAUACUAUAAGUUGAAGCUUGUGUAAGAUAAAAUGUUACGGUCUUAUAUGCUCUUACAAAAGCUUAUAAGUUAUAAACAUGUAUAAACUACGUUAUAAAUGAAACACAACUAUAAUUUUCUUUUCAGUACGUACCAAACAUAUGCAGUUAAAGUAGUAAACUGGAACGAAAGACACAUUUUUUUUUUCUUCUCAACUUCAAAUUUAAAUUGAAUCAAACCCUAUUCUCUAGAUUUACAAGCUAUGCAAUCGGCCUGAAAGUUCAAACUACGUACGUGGAAUCAAACACAAAGAAAAUUGCAAACCUAUUCCGAAGCAAGCAUAAUUCGUCCAAUAUGUUAGAGAAGGGUUGGGAACUCGAUAGCUCGGUGCCUGAAAAUUCUUGAUCAAAUUCGAGGAGCCCAUCCCAAUAUUUUUGACAAAAACUAAUCCCAUUUGUAAAGUUUUUUUUUCAUGAUCCAGAUAAGGGCUUUCAGCUCUUCCGAAUGUAAAGGGAAAGUAAAUUGUCUCCAAUUUAGAGGAUACACACCCAAACUCAAAGCUACGUGAAUCAAGUUCAAAUAAUCACUUGUAAAUUGUAAGCUACGCCAAAGAAAUAUUCAACUGUAACUUGAAUACAACAUCUUUUAUUGUGAGCACUAGUUAUAAAUUCAAAUAAUAUAUGUGUUGUUUCCACAUACAGUUAAAGUCGUAAAGUAGUACAACCGAAACCACUGCAUGCAUGUCGUAAUCNNNNNNNNNNNNNNNNNNNNNNNNNNNNNNNNNNNNNNNNNNNNNNNNNNNNNNNNNNNNNNNNNNNNNNNNNNNNNNNNNNNNNNNNNNNNNNNNNNNNGAAGUAUGCGACGACAUAGUGGGAAGACGAACAAGAAAAAUUCUGACCGAAAUAAUUGCUUGGGAACAGUGCCAUGCUUAGAUCUGAAGGUGGUUUUAUGCCAAUUAAACAAAUGUGGCCUUUAUAAAAAAAAAUAGUAUAAAAAUAUCAUCUCAAAUGUACACAAAAGUAAUAAUAACUGAAAUUAUAAAAAAAUUUAAAACAUAAUUUUUUUCUUUCUUUCCUAGAAAAUCAUUCACUAAACUCACGUAAUUGAGUUAUUUCACCAAUUCUCUUUAUAUAGAUAUAAUAACCAACUCAUUUAACUUAUCUUGUGACAUAAUUGAUUGGAGGUACAACUUUUUUAAUUAUUUUUGUUUGAAGUUAUAGUUAAAUUUCUUUUCUUUUUUAAUUUUAUGUUUGUAUUUAUCUCUUCAUUUAUGAAUAUCUAUAAAAAUAAAUAUUAUUAACUAUAAUACUAGUAUAUGGGCUUCUCUCAAAGACAAAACUCAACAGUAUUUACCUCAUUAAUUAUGUAUAUUAUGUGAAUACCUGCACGUAACGUGCGGUUUCUUAUUUUAACUAUUUCAAAUUUAUAUAUUUUUGUAUUUUCCUUAAAAAUAUAAUCAUUAUUUGUUAUGUAUUAAUAUAUUAUUAUAAAUCAUUCAAUUUAAAAUAUAAUAUCAUUACAAAAUUAAAAGUUUAUACCAAAAAAUAUUCAUCAAUAUUUUUAAUUAAUUAUAAUAUAAAUUAUUGUUUAAUAUUUACAUAAAUUUUAUUUAAGAUCAAUUAAUAAAUAUUUUUUUUUUCUUUUUCUUUAAGUGGUUUAAAAUUAAAUAUUAAAAUUUAUUAAUUAAUUUACUUUUUAAAAACUGAAAUUUCAAAUAAGUUUUAUCUUCAACUAUUUCAAAUUUAUAUAUUUGAUCAUUAUUUUUUAUGUGCUAGUAUAUUAUUAUAAAUCAAUUAAUUUAAAAUAUAAUAUUAUUUAAAAUUAAGAAUUUAUUUUUAAAAUAUCAAUUUUUAAUUAAUUAUAACUUAAUUUUUUGUUUAAUAUUUACAUAAAUGUUAUUUAAGAAUUAAUUAAUAAAAAACUUUUUAUUUUUUUUGAGUGGUUUAACACUUAAUAUUAAAAUUUAUUGAUUAAGUUUCCUUAAAAUUUAUAAUUUAAAUUUAAAAUAUAACACAUGUCAUUUCCAUAUUAACUCUUAAAUAUUGAUGUGUCACUCAUAUGGAGAGAGUUGAACAAAUUUUAUAUAUAUACUAGGAGAGAACAUGUGCUACGCACAGAUCUUAUUUUAUUAUGUUUUAGAAAUUAUAUAAAUUAUCAAUUUUUUGUUUUUUGUAUAAUUUGUUUUUUUCUUUCAAAAAUCUAGUAGGUGUUCUUCCAAAUUUCGAGUUCUUUGAUCUAAAUUUUGAUCUAGCAAUAAUUUUUAACUUUCUCAACAUAUAUUUUUUAUUUUUAAAUUUUAAUAACCUCUUUUAUAUGUUAUGUUUUUGAAUUUUUUUUAAAAAAAAAUCCUGACUAACAACAAUUUUAACUUUCUCAAUUAUCAUUUUCAUGUUUUCUUAUGACACAUAUUUCAUUCAAUCCAUCUUUCCAACUGAUAUCUUCAAAUUGUUGCCAUAUAUAUUUUUUUCUUUUCUUUUCAUUUUUAUUUAUUUUUUCUCUAUUUUUGAUAUCUUGAUAUUUUUCUAUUCUUUAUUUAUUUUUUGGUGUUAAAUUUUUUUCUCUUAUUUUUUAUUCUUUAGUUGCUUGUUUUUUAAAACAUAUUUUUUUUUAGUUUUAGCCGCAUAACUUGCUUUUUACCAUUUUGUGUUUUUAUGAUCUUAGUCACUUCUUUCAUCCAUUUUUUAAAUUUUUUUUCAUUUAAAUUCUCACAUAACAAUUAUUUUGUUGUUACAUAUAUUUUAUUGAAUCCAUCUUUCCAAAUAUAUUUAUUUGUUGACAUAUUUUUUUAUUAUUUUCUCUCUAAUUUUGAUAUUCUCUUAUCUACUCGAUUAUUUAUUAAAUUUUUUGUUUUAUGUGUUGUAGUUUAAUAGCUCUUGUUUUUGUUCUUCAGUUGCUUGAAAAUCUUUUUGACUUUUGUUAUUAUUAUUAUUUUUUUUUGUCUCAAAACUUAUUUUUUCAUCAUUUUUGUUAAUUUAGCUAUCUUUGUAGUUCAAUGAUGACAAUUAAAUCACAUACUUUAACAAAUUUAUGCUUUAAUAUUUUAAAUUAUACAUAGUUUAUAUCUAUUUAUAUUGUUUAAUGGAUUUUCUUUAGUUUUAUUGUACGUUUUUAUUAAAGAUAGUGGUUUCAGUUUUAACUUCAUAACUUGUUUUUUGCUAUUUUACAUCUUUUUUAUAAUUUUCGUAACCUCUUUCAUAUAUUUUUCUGAUUUUUUUUUUCAUUUAAACCCUCAUAUAACAAUUAACCUUUCUCAAUUUAUCAUUUUUUUUUGUUAUUACAUAUAUUUCAUUAAAUCUAUUUUCCAGUCAAUAUCUUUAAAAUUUUGUAUCUUUAUUUGCUAUCAUAAUUCUUUUUGAUUAUUUUUCUCUCUAAUUUUAAUAUUCUCUUAUUUUUCCGAUUAAUGAUUAUUUAUUUUUGUGUCUUGUGGUUUUAUAGUUCUUCAGUUCCUUGAAAAAAAUUAAUUAUUGUUUUUAUUUUUGGUCUCUAAAUAUUUUUCCUUUUUUAAUUGAUUGACGUAUUUUUUUAGUUUAAAGAUGAUUAAAUCAUAAACCAAAAAUUAAGAAGUCAAUCACUAUAUUUUAAUGAAUUUAAAUUUUAUUUAUUUUAAAUUUAUGCUUUAAUUUUAAUAGAACAUAACUAAAUAUAAGUUAAAUAAUUUAGAUAUAAGAUACAUGAACCUAGUUAAUAAAUUUGUGACCCUAAAUGUUUUUUCAAGAUAUAAGGAACGGCUCUGCUUGAGAAUACCAAAAAGGUGGUGAAGAUGUAUAAUAUACAGAAAGGGGUUGGAGAGUUAUUUUUUAAGUCGAAAUAUUUAAGACUGUUUUCAAAUAGGGGGAAAGAAUAUGGAUCGAAAACCUGAAACUCUCACGGUUAAUUUAGUUGGAGAAAAUAUCAAUUCAUGCAUGAUUUAUAAACACCCCAUUAAGAUAUGUACAUGAACUAAACCCCUGUUAGAAAAAAAGAAAUGGACAUGAACUAAUGCGCUAUACAAAUUCAAACACUAAAUAGGGGAAUAUAACUCAAACAAAACUAGGCUUAAUUAAUCUAAAUUUGUUGAUCUAAAUAGGGUAAUCUAACUAUUCCUACUCUAAUUCCGUUAAUCAAUUCGUCUAAAUAUGUUGAAUCAGAUGACAUAUCAUAUUAGAUAAAAUUUAAUAUGUUUGCUAAAAUAAAAUUUCCAAAAAGCCUAAACGAAUUUGUUAAUUAAAAGGAGUAAAAGAACAAAAAAUUCACUAAUUCAGAAUAAAUCUCUAUACGAAACUUCUCACUCAAGACCGUGUAUAACAAACAAAGCUUUUGCGAUAGGCUCCUCAAUUAUAUUACUUUUUUGGGGACGCAAAAUUACAAAAAUUUGGUUUAGCGGUUAGCAUAUUGAUUUUAGAGAAUAUAUAUUUUUCUAUGUUUCUUUUUUUUUUGAUAAAAAUAAAAAAUAAUAUAUUUUACUAACUUUCUAUCACAAGUUCAAUUCUAUGUUGUCUCUAACUUAUAUUAUUUCUUAACUAGGCUUUUAAAAAAAGUGAGGUCCCAUUCGAACCUAAACUCGAGAAUCAAAGAAAUUAAUUAAUUAAAAAAAGUGAGGUCCCAUUUCUUAACUAGAUUUUCUGAGUUUAUUAAAAAUAUGAGUUAAUUAAUUGGGUUUUAUUAAAUAUUAGAUUAGAGUACGCGUAAUACAUGGAAAAAAAUAUAUUUAGACUUUAAAAUUAAGAGUAUAUUACCUUUUGAAGCACUUUUAGAGUCUUAAUGUCUAUAUUCUAGAGUCUUGAUGCAACCUCAUGGGUCUCAGUAAUACGUAUUUUGAAUGGUUUUAUAAAAUAAUUUUCAUACUAUCAUUUUAUUUUUUAUCUUUCACUCAUCACUUUAGUUUUUUUUUUUCAUAAAAUAUUGUUAGUUUUAAUUUUUGGCUUUAUGAAUACAUUGUACUAAAUGUUUGAAUGAGUUUAUAGAACAAUUUUCAUAUACCAUACUAUCAUUUUUUGUCUUUCACUCAUCACUUGUUUUUCUUUUAUAGGCUUUAUAAAAUAUAAUUUUGAUCACAUAAUUAGAAUUUUACUUGUUUGUUUUUAAUUCUGGCUUUAUGAAGAUCUUGUACUAAAUGUUUGGAUGGUUUUAUAGAAAGAACUUUUAUAUAUCAUACUCUCUCUACUCUAGAUUUUACUCAUCACUUUAGUUUGAUCAAUAUAUCAUAUUUUAUGUUUUUCAUUCAUCACUUUAGUUUUUCUUUCACUCAUCACUUUAGUUUUGAUCACAUAAUUUGAAUUUUGGCUUGUAGUAUUUUUAGCUUUAUGGAUACCUUGUACUAAAUGUUUGAAUGGUUUUAUAGAAGAAUCGACAGAAUCAGAUACAUGUGACCGGUAUCAAAAUUUCAAUCUUUGAAUCGCAGCUCAAAUUCGAUUAAAUGUUACUAACCUCAUAUUAUAAUUAUUUAAUUUCUCUCGAAUAAAUGAUGCAUUGACAUCCUUAACAAUUGUAUUAAACCCUCAUCUAUAGUUAUCUACAAAUUUAGUCCAACAUGAUACUGCUCAAAUUUUGCUCCGACAUCUUCGUAAAUAGUAAAGGUUUUGAAAACUUUCAGGUCAUAGAAAAAGGAUAAUAAUUAAAUAGAAAUGAUAUAUUUUAUGCGGAUAAUUACAAAAAAGUUAUCAUAAAAAUAUGGAAAUCUCUCAAAUAUUUGUAAGAGAAAAAUAAGGAAAAAAUGAAUUACAGAAAAGAUAUGCAACCUUGUAAAAUUUUUUUAUGGAAUGUUAAAAUCAACAUAUAUGGUAAUGUACAAUAUAAAAAUUAUGAUGAAAAAAUCAAUAUUUCAAACCAAGUUUAAGAUUAGUAAGAACGUUUAUAAGUAAAAGAGAUAUGAAAUGAUCGACUUUCCAAAAUUUAAUUUCACAUUUUUAAAAACGUAUAUGACGAAUACAUUAGUUUCUUUGGAUAAAAUAUUUUUCAUUUAAAGAUUGUGAUAACUUUUGUAUAACAACUACGGUCAAUACAUGACAUACAUGAUACAUUGAUCAAAGUUUGUCAUUUUGGAAAUCGUGACAUGCUAAUUUGUUUAAAAUAAUGCUUAGCUUUCAGAUAUUUAUACAGAGUUUUGGUUCAUAUAUUAGAUUACUUACAAUAAUAUUCAACUGUUUGAUUUGUUAGAAGACUGUUGAACUUAGUUGGAUUAAUUUCCAAAAAGCCUGAACGACUUUGUUAGUUAAAAGGAGUAUAAGAACAUAAUUUUCAUAAAAUAUUCAGAAUAAAUCUCAUGUUCAACUAUUUCAUGUUAUCUAUUAGCGAGAGAAGAAAAUCAAAGGGUUCGCUAGCGAGACCACAUUUAACAUUUUUCUCUUCAGGGCGACAAGGUAUUUUAGCAUUAUUAUUAUUAUUAUUUUUGUUUAUAAAUUUACUAUAUAUUUUCACUUGUCAGUAUUAAAAUUGCAUAGUUGAAUUUGAAAUUCAAGAAUUUCCGUUGAGACGAUCAGAUUUACACUUAUAAAAUAUGAAUAAAUUUAAAUACUUUAAGAGGUUAGAAGCGGAUAAAUUUUUCAAAAGCGAUUUCAGUAAAAGGACAUAUAUAAAGAAAAGACUUGAACGAGUGAAUACUACAAAGAAUCUCAAUGAUGUUUUUAAUCGCUAUUAUCCUGAAAUGACCGAUAAAUGGGAUUCGCCCCCCCUUGCCAAAAAUCCUAUCCCUCUCUAUCUCAGUUUUCCAUCUUAAUUAGAUCAUUUGUUAAUACACUUUAUUUAUUUCUUUCUUUUGGGUAUUGUUUAUGAGCAGUCACUGUAAGGCUGUAAAGCUAUAGUUAAACAUUAAUAAUAUGUAAUAUAUAUAAAUGCAUGGUAUACAUGAUGUAGCAUUUGUACGAUUACUUGUUCGCAGUCCUGUUGUUAUUUGUUAGUAUAAAUAAACUAGUUUUUUAAGAAUACUGCCCGGGAACAAACUAAUGUUUUUGGGAAACUCAUUCCUCCUGUUUAGGUUAGAUGCGGAAUCUUUGAUCUUGUUUAUGAGAGACUGAUAAACAAGAAAAACAUUUAUACUCUUUGAAAGAUGGGGAAUUCCUAUUGGGAGGAUUGAUCCAUUAAACGCGGCUUAUAAAGCCAGAGUUGUUACACAAAAUCAGGGAUACAGAUAAGUGAGAUAUUAACAUAUUAUCUAAGUAAAAUCUACAACAAUUGUAACAGAAUAUCCUAUAUAUAUUCUAUCACUCUUAGUUUCCUUUUGUAUUCCAAAAUUAUUUAGUUGAGGUAUUAUAGUUCCAUAAUUUGAUAGAAUAUAAAAUAUUCGGUUACUUUUUUUUAGAUAGAAUCUGUUAAUAUCUUUUAUGUAAUCCCAGAUAUUGUGUAACUACUUUGGCUUUAUAUAGCCAUGUAUAUACAAUGAACCCUUCAAGGGGAAUUCAUCUACUUUCAUGGUAGCAGAGCUGUUAUCGUUUUUUUUUUUUCAUUUCUCCUUUAUCUCUCUUCUUCUUCUUCUAUAUUCUAUUAUAAUUCACUUCUCUGACUUUUGAUUUUACAUUUCAGCAACCACCCUCUUCUUUCCAAGGAGCGACUAACAACAAACCUCCACAAGGAAUGGUAAAAACAUGAUUUUUAAGGUUGUGUAUGAAACUGAAUAAAUAUCUUUAAAUCAUCGGAAUCUAUCCUUGGCCUCCAGGAUUCAGUUACUAUCGAGUUUGACGGUGCUUCGAAAGGAAACCCAGGAAAAGCUGGUGCGGGAGCUGUUCUUCGUGCUCCAGAUAAAAGUGUGCUCUGCUAUUUACGUGAGGGUGUGGGCACUGCCUCGAACAACGUUGCAGAGUAUAGAGCUCUGAAUCUUGGUCUCAAGUGUGCUCUUGAGAAAGGAUUUACAAAUGUGCGCGUCCAGGGAGAUUCAAUGCUUGUCUGUAAGCAGGUGACGAUAGACUUCACUUCACCGUAUCGUCUUCUUUUUUUUUUUGGUUUUGUUCCAAACAUUUGUGUUAGUAUCUACAAUGUUUUGGCAACAGGUUCAAGAUGCAUGGGAAACCAAACACCCAAAAAUGGCUGAGCUUUGCAACCAGGCCAAGGAGCUUAAGAGUCAGUUUAAAUCAUUCGAUAUUCAACACGUUGACAGGGUAAAGCCACCAAACCCUUUUUGUUUGAUCCACUCAGUCGUUGGUUUUCGUAACAAUCUCAUUAUGUCCGAUCAUGUUGUUGGUUCUUCUUUCCAGAGUUUUACUGUGAAUUUGAACCGAAUUUCUUUGGGUUUGGAAAGUUUAGGAUCAUUGGAUUUAGAGAUGACAAUUAAUUGUUUAGCUGUCUGCUUUGUAGGAGUUCAAUUCUGAUGCUGAUACUCAAGCUAACUAUGCGAUCCAUCUCGCAGGUGAGUUAGUUUGUGAUCUCAAAACGAAUAUGGAUUCUAGUUUCUUUUAUUUAUUUUUUAAGUGGAUCUUAAGCUAACAAGGGUUUUGUGUUUUUUUUUUCUUUUCUUUGCUUGAUUCGUAUUCAGAGGGUCAAACGAAAGAGAUUGCAGGCGGUUAGAAGAGGAGAUUACUAUAGACAUAGAAAUAGUAAUAUUCCUGUUUUCUUGUUUCUCGGAUCGUGUCUUUUAUAAGUGUUUGCUAUAAACGUGAACAUUUUCUUCUCUCUCUCUUGCUCUGUCCCCAGCCUGUUGGAUUCCUAAGAACAUGUCUAUGUUUCUCUUCUCUUGCUCUUAAAUUCUGUUCAAUGGAUUUUCCAGAUGAUAAUGGUUUUAACUUCUUUAGAAUAUUAGUGUUUCCUUGUUAUGUCCUCUCAUUUAUUCAAAGCCGACACACUAAACAUGUAAGGGUAAAGUAGUAAUUAUGUGAAAUUGUUGAAACCAAACCAAAAUUCAAGCAAUAACCAAAAUUCAAGCAAUAUACACAUGGAUUUCUUGCGAGCUAGAAGACAAGGAGAAACGAAGUUGAAAGCGAACGAAGUUGAAAGCGAACGAAGUUGAACACAAAUGAAGCUAUCUAUGAUUUUAAUUAAUUCUACCCACUACUAAUCUUGUUAGAAUCCCACAUCGGGAAGUUUAAAGGGAUUAACACUAAUAUAUAAGGAAUUUGGACCUCUCCACUUAUGGCCAAUUGGUUUUAAGUUGGAAGUCCAGGAAACUUAACACUACUAAUCCCACGCUAAUUAAUCAUAACUUUGUUUAAGACAAUUAUCUUUCCAUAUAUUAGUUGAGUUACUCUAUGUUAAGUAUUUUCCAAUUAAAAAAGAAAUGUUUUUAUUUUAUUUCUAAAAAAAAACGUUAACUACUUAAACGAACACAUGGGAGGGUAAAUUAGUAAUGAAGUGAAAUUGUUACAACCAAUAGAAACCGAAAUUUAUCAACUGAACAACAGAAAAAGCCAAAUUCAAGAAGAUAUAUAUCACAGAGGGAAAACAAACUACUUUUCUACAUUUACUACAUAAAACUAUUUACAGUUUUUUUUUUCUUUUCUUUCUUUCUUUUCUAGUAGCCUAUAAAAUAUAAACCUAAGCAUGCUGUAAUCUCUCUUAAAUUCGUUAAUUUAAAAAAUUUAUCGAUUUUUUUUUGAUAAAAUGUGAAUUUUAUUUACCAAAAGCUAGAAAUUUUCUACAAAACUGUCCGACAGAGCAAAUCGUUACAAAAUACCAAAAAAAAAAAUCUGAAAUAACAAGGGAAAGAAAAUAGGCCUAACUAUGAAACUCUACUCAUAGGCAAAUGACGAAUCAUAGAAAGGGAAGGCUUUUAAAAGCUUUUAGGUGUAUCCUGGCAAGAAUGUUGUCACGAAUAUUUUGGUCAAUCAGCUUGAAGGUAGCAGAGAUGGUAAAGGAUGCAGCGUUGUGUAGCCUAUUAUUCCGCUCCUUCCAUAGAUGAAAUAUAACAGACUGAACCACAAGGCGUCUAAGCGCGAGACUCUGGUCACCUGAGAGGGUGAAGAUCCAAAUCAUAAGCUCAUGCCAAUCUGCGAAAGAGGGUUCAGUCUUCCCGAGCCGAGGCAAGACUCUUCUCCACAAAGCCGAGCUGAAGUCACAGUGGAAGAAGAGAUGAUCCCGAGUUUCCAGGGUAUUAUGAAAAAUACAGCAGUUUGUUGGAACGUUUAAAUCCUAAACAGCAAGACGCGCUCUAACUGGGAGUCUAUCCAAAUUUACAACCCAGAAGAUAAAUGCAUGCUUCGGAGUAGAUCCCUUGAACCAAACAGCUUUAGCCCAGGGCACAGGGUUCCUAAAAGCCUAAGUUGCUCCCAUGUGAGCUUCAUAGAAAAGUCUGAGGUGGAAUCACCCUCGAUAUGCCAGGCAUAGGCGUUCGAACCCAUACCAUCAAGAGGAACCGGAGUGUCUAACAACAUCUCCCGGAGCGCAGCAAGCGAAAGAUUCCUAGUGCGGGAGGACGGUAAGAACCAACCAGAAGAACCAGUACCAUGUUUUACAACUGCGGAGUCAGGUAUAUCUGUGAAAGAGGGACCCUGCGGACCAAUCACAUCCAUAAAGGGACCAAGACUGGACCAGUGAUCAUACCAGUAACUAGUAGUUUCACCAUCAGCAAUUUGGCACCUCAAAAACCUUUUGGCAAGCGGUCUUAGUGAUAAGAGAGUCUUCCAGAUCUAGGAAUGAUGAUCGGCUGGUUCAGAGUUCCAAGAGUUCAAAUUUUGAAACUAUGAAAGUGGUUCCACGUAACCAAAAGAGAGGCUCUGUUAGAGAAAAGAAGCCAGACAAGCCGAAGGAUUAGAGUUUUAUUCCACAUCCAUAAACUACUUAAUCCCAGACCACCUUCUGAUUUUGGUAAACAGACUUGCUGCCAUGAAACUUUUGUUCCUCCAAACUUUGAGAUGUCACCGGACCAUAGGAUUCUGUUACAGAGCUGCUCAAUGGCUUUUAGACAGCAUUUCGAAAGCAUAAAUGAGGAUACCAAAAGUUUACAGUGCUGUAUAUGAUGAGGAGAUUAACUGAAGUCGGCCCACAAAUGAUAAGGUCUUCGUUUCUCAAUGGUUAAACCGAACUUUUAUCUGAUCUAGGAGGGGAGAGUAGUCAGACCUCCACAGCUUCCUGUGGAGAAAAGGCAGUCCCAAGUAUAGGAAAGAGAACAAGCCGUGAACGAAACCAAACUUCUCAGUUUCAGCAAUCUCAGCUGAGGAUAAUCCUGCGAUGUAUACUCCAGAUUUUUCCCGGUUUAUCUCAAGCCCAGAAAGGUCUUUAAAGGAGUCAAGAACAGCUGUGAUGCCAUGGAGAGAGGAUGGUUUACCGUCAUAGAAGCUCAUGAGGUCAUCAGCAAACACAAGACUCGAGAUCUUCAGAUCCUUUGCCCUAGGGUAGUACCCAAUAGUUUCAUCUUCAAAUUUGGCCUCAAGCAACCGAGAGAGGAUUUUCAUAGCAAUAACAAAUAGGGAAGGGGAUAGAGGGUCCCCUUUUCUCAGCCCUUUACCUCCUUUGAAGUAACCGCAGAGAGAACCAUUCACGUUGAUGGAGAAGCCUGUGGUGGUAAUGCACUGUUGCACCCAGUUGAUGUAAUUCUCAGGGAAGUUUGCCGCUUUGAGUACUUCUAAAAGGAAGUCCCAUCCCACAGUGUUAAAAGUGUUCUGAAGAUCAAUUUUCAGGACGCCUUGUCGUGAUACAUUCUUUUGCCCGAAGCCCUGGACCAGUUCAGUAGCGAGGAGGACAUUCUCAGUUAGCAGUCGGCCUUUAACAAACGCAGAUUAAGAAGGUGAUAUCCAGCUGGGAAGGAUGGACUCGAGACGACAGGCGAGCAGCUUGGAGAUAACCUUAUAGAGCAUAUUACAGCAAGAUAUAGGCCUGAAAUCAGUAACCUUCUCUGCAUUAACUUUUUUUGAUACCAGAGUGAUAGUAGUACUAUUCCAUUGCCGGAGGAGCCGACCAGAGGAGAAGAACUCUUUAAGAGCAGUGAUUAACUGGUCACUCACAACACUCUACAUCUUCUUAUAAAAUUCCAAAGUGAACCCGUCGAGACCUGGAGAUUUGUUCAUUGGGAAAGUGAAGAACUCAGUUCUGAUGUCCUCACUAGAGAUAUAGGCUGCUAGGAAUUCUCGCAUAUGAUCAUCACACCGAAACUUCUGGAGGGAAUGAAUGAGACUUUGCUCGUGGUAGAGAGCGGAGCAGCCUGAUUUCCAAACAGCUCUGCAAAAAAAGCUAACAUAAUGGCUUUCUAUUUUCCUGCAUCAAGGAGAUAAUGAAUCUGAUUAAAUGACCUCCUUGCAGCUACCAUGCAAUGGAAUAAAUUUGUAUUCAGAUCACCACACUUGAGCCAAGAUACCCUGGAUUUCUGGCAUAAGAAUCGUUUUUCUGCAUUAGCAAGUUUUAGUCAGAUCCUGUGUGCCUCUUUUUCCAGAUUGACAAGAUUUCAGAUGUCGAACCGCUUGCUGUACUCUUUUCUCCAGGUUAGAGAAGUGAUCCUUACUGAAGGAUUUAAUAGUUCUUUUGAGGAACUUGAGCUUCUUAGAGAGUACAAACAUAGUUGAGCCGUGAAAAGCAAGCCUCUCCCAGGUAUCCUGAAUUUUGCUUAUGAAAUCUGGGUGAUGCAUAAGGAUAUUCGAGAGAUUGAAAGGCUUUCUUUUGUCGCCGUUCUGAUUUGCUAUUUUAACGCAGCUAGAGCAGUGAUCGGAGAACUCCAUGUCCCCAAAGAUACCAAAAGACAGGGGAAUGCCAACAACCAGUUGUUGUUUACCAGAAUACGGUCGAUCUUCCUGGCAAUGGGGUUACUCUCUUGAUUGUUCCACCAUGUAAACGUGUUUCUUUUGUAGAGGAGAUCGAAGAUACCUGUAGACUAAAUACAAUCUUGAAACUCCUCCAUUCCUCCUAUAAUACAAGAGCCACCAGAAGAUGCAUCAGCAGGGUCAAUAGUCUGAUUGAAAUCCUCUAGAACCAACCACGGCUUCUCCAAGAUACAAGAGUCAGCAGAGAGAAUGCAAAUUUCCUGCCAGAGGCUAUGUUUUUUAUAACUGCAGUUAAAAGCGUAGACAAAGGUUACCACGAUCUCAGAAACCAGAUGCGGGAGCUUCACCAGACAGGUAAUGGUCUGUGCUGACUUUGAGAGAAUGUUGACCGUAACAGCAAGAUUCCAGAUCACCCAAAUAUGCCCAAGAGUAAAGAAUUCAUAAUUGCAUACAGCCCUUCAUCCAGGGAAAGAAGACCGAAGCAACUGAAGAGAUCUAUGUUCCUUCACCCGAGUUUCAAUAAAGCUACCAAAAAGAGCUUUGGAAAUCUUGAACCAUUUCCUAAAAUUUCUUCGCCGAACAGAGUUAUUAAACCCUCUUACAUUCCAGCAAAAGGUGUCUAUCAUUGAGAGGGACGGUGUUUGGAGCCUUUGCUCCGGAGAAGCUCUUGCCUUCGCUGCUUUUGCAGCUCUAACAGUUUCUUUGACUCCAGCUUUUUUAACAGCUUCUUAUUCUUUUUCGAAAUGACCUGAGAGAAGCUAUUCAGAUCUACGUUCGGAUAGAGUUUUCCACUAGGAUUCUCGCUGAGGAGUUCUGCGCCAAGUUCUCAUCUUCUAGGGGUUCGUCCUCCUCUUGAGAAUUCUGAUGACUCUUCAUCAGACUCAAAGGAUGAUUAUGAGGCAGAGGAGGAAGAGGAGAUCUCAAAGGGGAGCUUCUCUUUAUCCGGGCUAACAUAGAAAGGAGAAGUAUUUAGGAGGUUCUCCAAUCCAGUGUCCACCUCUAUUGUGCCCCCAGAGUCAGAUCCAACUCCAGAAAGAGCUGCUUUUCUAGCUGAAGUCUUCUUCCUCCUGGGUUUCCUCUUCUUGCCGGGUUUUCCCUCAUCAGGGAUGACUGCUUCCUUCUUCACUUGAGGGCAGUUUUUUGUAGCGUGAGAGGUGGCGGUACAAGAAGUGCAAGUAAUGGGAGCAGAAGGGCAUCUUUUGAGGGAAUGACACACUUCCUUACAGAACUCGCAAUUGGAGGGAGCCAUGGGCUUGAGACUCCAAUACGGUGGAUGUGUCCCGACUCAAAUCUGACAUUCAUAGCUUCUGGGAGCGGCUUUGAUGGGUCAAUAAUUUGAAGACUCUCGCCACCUCCAAAUUUGUCAUGUUUUCAGUCGAGGGGUGAAGGAAGAGUGGCUCUCCAAUAGUUCCUGCAAUGUACUCAAGUCUUUCUUCCGAGAAGAUCUGCGGAGGAACACCAUGAAAAUCCAACCAAACCGGGGUGGAGGUGAGCUCAAGAAACUCUGGUUGGAGCCCAGGCUUUCACUUAGCCACAAACAUAUACUGAUUCUCGAUGUACCACAUGCUCUGCUCCAAAACCCGUUGACGAGUGACAGAGCAUGUGAUGUGAAUGAGGAAAACAUUUGCAGAUAGUUUGGAUACCAAAAUAUUCCUUAAUUGCUUUCUCCAGAUGCCAUUAGCAAUCGCAUAGAGUGCUUCUGGAGAAGUAGCUUUCCUGUGGAACUGACCUAUAAUGAAGUUUUCCCACUUGUGCUCAUUCUUUUCGAUGACAGAGUUUGGGAUAGAAACACAGAUCUCACAAGACUCAAGAACAAAAGGAGACCCUUUCUUAGUCAUAAGGCGGUUCGAGCCUUUAACAAGCUCGCUCCUGGAGGUUUUCGAUACCAGAUCUAGGGCAGACACACUUGAACCAGCAGCAUUCUCGAGGGUCGGCGAAGUAGAAGCCGAGAUCUGGGGGAUAGCAGGCUUCACCUAGCGCGAAAGAGGCGGAAACAUCUCUUGGGAAAGACAUUUACAUCGGCUGGGGUGCUCGUCUUAGCAGCAGAGGCGGCGUGGGGCGUAGCAAAGCCGGGCAAGGAACCAGUCUGCAGGGUAGAUUUGGCGAGGAAGGGCAGCAGCGCAGAUCCAGCAGGAGCAUAAUCUGGCAGCGCAGACCUGGAGAAGGGUUUCGAGGGCAGAGGCGGAGGCUUACGGAGGGAGGGGAAGGAAGUCUAGGUGAAGACUUUUUUCUUGGCCAUUGUGGUUGUCCAGCAGCAGCGGCCAGGGACCAGCGCCAGAGCAGAGGGAGGAGAAGGGUCGCCCUUUUCUAGAAAGAAAAAAGAGGAUUUUUAAGGGAAAAUUGGAAAUUUAAUACACAAAAUGGAAGAACUUGUCCCUUUAAUCUUUUUUAAAAUUUUGGCAAUUUUGGAUAAAAAUAACCUUAUAAAUACUUUUAAUUUCGAAAAUAAAUAUUUAUAUAUAGUUCUUAAUUCCGAAAAUUUCAAAAAAGUAAAGAAUAUUAUUCUAAAACAUUAUUUUAGGAAAUACAUAUAUUUAAAAUUUACUUAUAAAUAUGUUAUAGAAAAUGUGUUCUAUAAUUCUAGUGUUUUAUAGAAUUCGUUUUCUACUAGUUGGUGUAAGAUCAACCAAGUCUAGAAUUCGGUUUUUACUAUUUGGUAUAUGAUCAACCGAGUCUAGAAUCGAUGUUCUACUAUUUGGUAUGUUUUCUAGAUCUCUUUAUAGAAUACAUUAUCUAGAACUUGUACUACAUUCUACAUAUUGUAGAAUAUGUAUUCUAGAAUUCGUUAUAUAUUCUAUGUUUUCUAGAAUUUAACUUCUACUGGUUUGUCUUCGUUCUAGUGAAUAUAGAAUCCGUAUUCUACCAAACGGUUAACAGAAUCACAUAAAAUCUAGGAUCAGGUUGUAGCUAACAAAAAUAAAAUAUUUAAAAAUAUAUUAUUUUCCUUUUUUUGUUUCACGUUUUUUAACAUAUUUGGGAAGUUUUUUUUUUGUUCUUCUUCUCUUUCACGACAAUUUAACGAUCUCAUCGAAGUUUUUCUAUGAUUUAUGUUCUUCUUUGAUUUCUGUUCUGGUUAUUUAUAUAGCUCAGACUGUAUACAAAGUUACCCAAAAUCAAUUUGGGAUUUUAAACCCUAACAUAUAUAUAUAUAUAUAGAUUAAACGAAAGGGAUAUUGAAUACAUUGAAGAGGUUACCAAUUGGAUGAGAAGAUUGAUGACAAUUGAGGAUGUACUCUGGAGAAUCGAUUUGAGAAAGAGCGGAGAAAACGAUGGACAUGUUCGGCGAUGAUAUCUUUUUUAGGCUCAUAAUUGUAUUGUUUUAUAAAAUUUCUAUUCUUAAUUAAUAUUAAUUAAAAAUAAUAUAUUAAUAUGAGAAAAUUCUUUUUUUAGGGGCAAAAGAGGAUUACAAUUAACAUAAGUAUUAGAGAGACAAUUUUUUAAAAAAAAAAGAUACUAAAGGGACAAGUUCUUCUAUUUUGUGUCUUAAAUUUCCAAUUUUCCCAUUUUUUAAUGUAAUUAAUGUUUUUUUCCUGCUUAAAAAUUAUUAAUUCCCGUUAAGAAAUCUAGUAUCUCCUCCUCUCUACACGUUUUGAUUAGUAAAAUAGACACAAGCACACAAAUUCAAGUUGAGGUCACACUUUCUAAACCAGAAUUUACUGAACAUAGAAAAUACAUACAUAAAAGAUGAGGUUACAUUACAUACAUAUAUGUACCUUUUACAUGCUACAAACAAACAGACACCCACAAAUUUAUGUUGUAACAUUAUUACAACCAAACUCUCAAGAGAGUGAAGUUUUAGCCGGUCUGCACUCGCUCACACCAUACCUGAAUCUAAAUAAAUAAAAAUCGCAAAACAGCCCCACAAUUUUGGCCAUAAUCCUAACAUCACUCCUUAACUCCGAAAAGUCCGGAAAUUGGAACUUUGACCUUAUUGCCUUUGUUUGGUUUUGGUUUAGGCAAGAGAGCAGAAACGUUGAGCUGUUUCUACAGUUCCAUGCAAACCCGGUUGUUUUACGAGGAUUGAACUAUUUGGACACUGGUAGACCAAAAAGGUUGCGUUGGUGGAUGAUGUUAUGGACUCUCUAACGGUAUGAACUUGUGGACCGUGAUAGAUGUAAGAAUUAUUAUGGUUCUUGAGAGAAGAGAGAUUAGGGUUAUAAGAAUUAGGGUUUGGCGUGGAAGUGUUUCUGUUGAGCUUUGCUAACCCAUCCUCUGCACUCAUCCUGUGCUGAUCCUUUCGAGAAAAUCCCAUGGCAGUAGAAAGAGAGAGAUGAAGGAUGUAUUGAGUUUGUUGUCUUGGGUGGUUAGAUAUUAACAAAGUUUGUGGCUUUUAUAUAGAGAUCAGAUCCCAGAGGGUAAAGUUGUCUGAGGAGGACACUCUUAUCAUUAAAACAGAAAAAAAUUGUCAUAAAUUUCAACUUUUAGAGUAUUAUUGAGGUAUUGGUGCACGUACGUUUGUAUUAUUAUCAUUAUAUUAUGUAUUGAUGGAUAUAGAUAAUAUAUAUAUUUUUUAUGGAUAAUACUUGAAAUCAUAUUAAUAUGUAGAUAUAAUAUGAUAUCUUUCUACUACUUUUACGUAUAGGCCGGUAUUAGAUUAUUUCGUUUGGUCUAAAUUCAUGGUGUUGGCGAGGACUGUUGCCAUAUAUAUGCUAAUCUAGUUUACUCCGUUCGGUUUUUAAAGCCUAUUCGAUCCGGCCAGGUCUGUUGUGCUUUGGACCCUUGGACUUAUUAUUAACCCGUGGUUAACGCCAGAUACCACCAAAAAAAAAAAUUACGGAUUUAAUGGAUUUUUUUUUUACAUCCUAAACAAAUAGUCUUAAACCAAGAAGGGUCUUCUUGGACAACCAAUUUCAUGGGGGUGUUUAUAUUGGAUUGAUUGAAUAUUCAAACAAAAUAAAACUUAUCAGUUUGUGCAUUUUACCUAAGUUUUGUGAAUUGUGAGUCAUAUAUCAUAUACUAUGGUCUCCCCUUCAGAGGGAACAAAUAGUAUAAAGUGAAGGAAAGUUAUGAAAAAAGAUAAAUACAUAGUAAAAAAAACAUUUAAAAUCACUGAUCGAAUACUACAAAUAAUCUGCAACUUGAAAACUCUGGUCUACAUAUAUCAUACAAUAUGCGUACCAUACUAUCAUCAAUAUAUGCAUGAAUCAUGUAACGGUACGUAGUAUCAAUUAUGUAUAUUUAUGUGCUAAUGUGCAUGAGUAUUAUGUAUCAUGUAUCCUUUAACCCAAAAGAAUGUAUCAUGUAUAUGUAUCAUGUACGUAGAUGUAAGAAAAAAUCUCCAGAAAGCUUGGGAGAGAAGGGAUUGGGAAUCUGCUUUGUGAAGGUAAAAGAAUCAAUGCAAUGUAAGAAAAGAGAAAGGUCGGUUAAGAUUUGGUAUCCAUUUAUUCUCAAUUAUUUCUUCUCUUUUAGCAUCCCAUUCAACUCUACUAUUAUUCCCCUCUAUCUGCUUUUUCACUAACUCUACUCAGCCCUACUAACAUUCCAAACCUUUCUACUUUAAUACGAUUAAUAUUUCUAUGAUUAAUUAAUCAGCUUCUGUAUAAAAGAAGUAAUUUUUUUUCAGUUAAAGAUGCAAAACAAGUUUCAACUUGGCAUAAUAUAAUUUCAAACAAGAUAACAAUCUUCAUUUAGCAUCCUAAAUCAUUAUAUAAUCUGUAGAUAUAUGAAUCCCUGUAAACUUUUUUAAAAGAUAAAGGUGGAGAGAUUUCAUAUUAUAAAAUAAUCUUAAUUGUUUGGUAAAAAGAAAAAAAAGGUACUAAGUUCAUAUUUAAUUCCCACAUGUUAUGAUAUAGGCAGGGAUGCUUUAAGCAGAUAUUUCGAUUAUUAGUAAAAAGAAAGACAGAAUAUAGUUUUUAAUAUUUUAAAAUUCCUUAUUUUUCAGAUUUUGUUUUCCUUCAGGUAAAUUCAUCGUGAGUUGAAUACUGUAUUGAGAACAAUAUGAAAGAAAAAUUUCAAAUUCAUAGCGACGGUCUUUUAAAUUAAGUUCAAGCUGAAGUAAUCUAAUUAACUACUACAUGUCUAUAGUGAAUUUGAUCAUAACUAUAUGCAAAUUUCUUAGUUUUUUUAUCUACCAUUUCUUUAUUAUAUAAGGGUAAUCUAAUCUAUUAUCAUUAGAUAAUGGAAUUUGAUAGAUAGAUAAUUUAUACAAGAAAAAAAUAAUAAUAACAACAUUAAGUUAACCUAUUUAAUUGAUAUCCUUAACUAUUGGGGAUAUGAUUUUUUGUUUUAAGCUCAGAUUGGGUAUGAUUUGUAACAAAAAAAUCUAAAUCACUAAUAAAGAGACAUGUGUCUCUAUAUCAGGGGUUCUCAUGGAGCCCAUGGAGUUUUCAUAGUUUCUCAAGAAUCGGUCCUCAACUUUUUCUUUCUAAAACUAUUUUUUGUUUAUUCUUUAGUGUUUUUUAAUGUGAAAUACUCUAUGAAAAACGUUCGAUGGAGGUGCUCUGAGAAAGAGCAGACCGUCAAACCGUCAAAAAUUAAUAAAAUUUGAUUAUAUUCGAUUCCAUGUACAUGUUUCUGAUGGUUACACGUAUCGUUAAGUUCUUUCAUUGUAAAAUAUCAGAGAUUACACCUCCACGACUACAUUAAACAUUGGAUAACCUAAAUUAACCUCAAAGAAAACGAGUUUUCAUACGCAAAUGCAAGUGGAUAAUAUCCUAAACAAUAUUUUCACUAGAAAAGUAAAUUAAAGCUCUUGUUAAAAGAUACUGUUGGUUCCUUGAGUAACGGAUAAGCUUUUUCUAUAUAAAGGUCAUUGGCUUUCUUUCCUCCAAGUCAAGCUAAAACCAAAAAACAAAGAUAAUACACUAAAACAAUUAAAAUACCUUUCUUCUCUUUGUGCUUCAAUGGCAAUGGCUCAAAAAGAUAGAAACAUGAAGAUCGCUCAAAAGGCUUUUGAAAUGGUCGAUAAGAUGUACGGUAAGUCCCCAAAAAUAACCCCUCCACCAUAUGUUCCCAGGGACGACCGGUUUGAGAGGGUGAAAGGACGGGCUAUUAGCUGCGACGAGGCGGCCCGACUCUAUGGAGGGGUACUUAUUAAGGAAUUUCGUUAAGUGGUGUAAAAACUCAAGAAAUGUUGAACUUGGAGGGUAAGUUUGUAAAAAAGUGUGAUAGUUUUUAUUUCUGCUUUCUGAAAAAGUGCAGACCAACACAUAUAUGCUAAAGCUUGUUGUAACGGUUUUUCUUAGAAUAAGCUUUAGAUCACUACCAAGUGUUUGUGUCUGUUAUGUAUCUACAAGUACUUCCAAGAUGAAGCUUAUGUAUAAUAUAUAAAAUGUUACGGUGUCACUGCUAAUGAUGCAAACAUGUAUGCUCUCAGAGUAACGCAAGUUAACAUAUAUACUCAUAACUCUUUGUAAACAUAAACGAAAUAAGUCUGUACGUAUAUUUUUUUAAAAAAAAACACAAACAAUCAUAUAUGACAGAGUAUAUAGAAGCUCUAGUUUUGGCUUAUCUAGGUCUUACCCAUUAGAAUAUAAAAUCAAUACGCAAAUGGACAUUUUACUUAUUUUUACUCGAAGCGGUCAUGUAAUUUGGAUUGGGUACGAUAAGGUCGAAUAACCCAACCCGUAAUUGCUCAAGCCUAGUUUGUAUACGAGUAAUAAUAUUUUAACCUUUCUUUUCUUACAACUAUUAAUAUUCGUAGGGGUUAGCACAAUAUACUUUCGGACCAGAUAUCAAUCUUUCAUUUAGAAUCGUAAAUUGUUAUAUAAUUUGUAGAUAUUUAAAUUGUAACAUCCCUAUCCCUGGCUCCUUAGAAGCGGGAAACCGGGUAUGUUAGAUUAGCCAUCGAACCGCGUCCGGUAGAAUGUCCGAUUUGGUGAUCGCACAGGAACGCCAGAAAAACGCCCAGGUAACAAUCAACAACAUAGACUUAAGCUGAUCUCUCUAUUAAACCUGAAAGACAAGGGGAGAGGAGGGGUGAGUAAUUGGAAUUACUCAGUGAGGAUGAGCCUUAAGGAGACCCAUAACAUCAUCAAACUAGCGUAAAUUGGUUUUAAGAGAUCUAAUCCUAAAGCAAGCCCAAAUAACACAUAUAUAUAUACUUAUAUAUAAACAGUUCAUUCCUAACAAUCAUUCACACAACAUUCAAGGGUAGCCCUACAAGCAACUACACAAGCAGCGGGUCCCUGGCCUUUGCCAGUAACAGUAGGCUGCCACAUGGGCCCCCAUACCUCACCCGGAAAGGCAAACCAGAAUAAUCCCAUCCAAUGGCUGGCCUAUUACCAUACCCAUUAGUCAGGUCUACUCUGCCAGUCACACAGACUGGUCCACAGCAAUCACCAAGACAGGCUAUGACACUAACGGUCACUCAGACGGCUGUUCAUAGCGGUCUCACCAGAAAGUUGUAUCCAGCGGUCCCCUUGGACGGCUCAAUAACCAGUGGAUCGCUCAUCAACUCCAGCGAUGGCCCUAGCCGUGUGUUCACGACAGCGAUAGCCAACAAACAACACUGACUCCCACCUCUAGGAGCCAGGGGUCCUAACAGAGAUCUACUAUGCACAAAUCAUCCAUUUCAUAUAACCAUUCUUUUUUAAAAGUCCUUCCAUUAUUAAGAUGCACUUUCGGUGAUACCAAUUGUAACAAAAAGAAACAUUAAUCAGGUCAACAUCACACAAUCAAUAUUUUAAAGUCCAAAUAAGUUUAGAUCUAAGUUCAGGUUAAUUAUCUCAUUUCACCAGCAACCAUCAAUCAUCAACAAACAGACAACAUAGAUCCAGGUCCUAAACAAUUCUAACAGUCCUAACAAGCAGAUCUAAGCCUGAUCUAAGAAAAGAUCACUUAAAAGUCAACCAUGCAUAUGUAAGAGAUGAUGAAGCCACAGAGCCCUCACCUUGGCUUAGAAGGCUGAGAAACUGGAGGAGGAGGCAGAGGAGAAGGAGAUCUAAGAGGAGAUCCAUCAGAAUCAGCUCCCAUCUCACCCAAAGGAGAAGGAGGCGGCGCAGACAUCUCGGCUGGGCAAGGAAGCUUCGGCGGAGAGAGAGACUUGGAGGAUGGUGGUGGCCGCGGCAAGGAGAGAGAGAGACACGGCCACGAGAGAGAAGGAAGAAGAAGAAAACGCGGAGGGAGAGAGGAAGAGAGCAGCUUGGCGCAGAGAAGAGAGAAAGAGAGAGGAAAAAGGUGGCUAGGAUUGUUUAGGAGCUUAAUGAGGAUUUUAGAGAUUUAAUUAGGUAUUUAUAUGGAUGUUUAAUAGAUGGAAUGGGCUUAAUGGACUUUUAGAAAGAAAUUAGGAAAGACCCAAAAUAAAAAGGAAAUAAAAGAAAAGGAAAUAAAGAUGGUUUAAUUUAAUAAAACCGGAAUUAGAAACUGCUAACAUCCGAUAUUUGGUUAAUCAAAAGUCGGGAUGUUACAUGAAUCCUUGUAAACUUUUUGUAUUUUGAUAGCAAAGUCGGCGGAAAGAUCAUUACUAAGAUAUUCUUCAAUCAAAAAUGCGGAAGAAUUACAUUUUUUGGGGUGCUAAUAACUGUUUGAUUCAUUUUCAACAUGAAACAGAGUUUUGAGCUAGCAAAAGCAGAGCCUGCUUUGCUAGUGAGUCAGCCACCACAACAUUGGCUUUACGGAAUAUGUAAUGAAAGGAGAUACACUUUUAAAAAAUAAAGACAUAUAAGCGAACAAUUACAUUAUUUAUUUUUAAAAGUUAGACAAUAGAUUCGAUAUCUUUGCGAUCAUUAGUUAUUUUUAAAAUGCGUUGCUUUCACGUAGUAAAAAUCUUCGUGUUCUUUUUUUUUUGGGUUAAAUUUCAUGUUCCAUUUAUUAAUGAGUUAACGACAAAAAAUUUAUAAAACGGCAGUAAAAGCUUUCAAAUCCAAAACGCAAGUUUCUUAAGUGUUCUCUUUUUGGAAGUGUCACGGACAGAGGCGGACCUACUAAGAAAAAAAGGGUGUCACAUGACACACCAUAAAUCUUGAUAAUUGUUUUUCUAAGAGUAAAAGUUAUUAAAAAAUCAAUAGCACAGAAGGUAAAUUUGGUUCAUUGACCCCUUAUAACCUGGGUUCUAGUUCUGCCCACUACUUCUCUUAUUAUUUUGACACCCCUUAAAUCCAUAGCUGGGUCCGCCACUGGUCACGGAAGCAAGCUUCCAAAAGUUUCUAAAUUAUACUCCAUUAUUUUAUUUUAUUUUAGGUUCGAAAGUUUCCAGUUCUAAUUCUAAAUCCAACAAACAUUCUAAGAUCAGUAAUUCAACUCUAUUUUAGAUUUGCUGAUUUAUGUCUUGAUGUUAAUACUAUUUACGAUAACCAAUUAGUAAUCGACUCUUACACAUAUCAAAAACAAAAAAUUAACUACACUAUUAUAUUUGAAUUAAUAUCUUUCAAUGAUAAUACUUUUCGUUGACGGCUAAUGAUGACACUUAACUUCAAUUAUUAUAGCUUGAAAUGUGGAAAAAUCUGUAUGAUGGACGAAAGAUGGCCGUGGAUAUAGUUUUGAUAUAAUGUAGACAGGGGUAUCCCGUAUCCAUAAAUUGCUUUUAAGUAUAAAUAUGUGGAUUCGUUGAUAUCUACCUUUUUAAACAUUAGAUCAAAAAUUCAUAGAAUUUUGUUCGAUCUUUAUUUUUAUUUUAUUUGUCAUGUUUUCAUAUCCUUCUUUUGUAAUUCAAUUUCCUUGCGUAAGUUUACCUACUAAGAAGUGGGAACAAUAUGAAUUUUGAAUCGUACCUACUUAGAAGGGAGAACAACUGAAACAAAAUUAUCAAUUAAUUAGAGCGAUUGUGUUUGGAAUCGGAAUUUAAUUUGAAGUAAGCUAGUUACUAGAUGUGUUAUGUAUAAAAUCAUAAUACUUUUAAUUAUAACUACAUGUAAAAGUUAUUGAGAGAAGGCGUGUACUUGCUUCCUUUUGGGUUCGAUUUCCAUUGAGAAUCUUUUUAUUGUCAGUUGCUAAUCAAAAUGAGACCACAUUUUAAAUUCAUUUAUCAUGAGAAAUUAAUUGAGUCGUAAAACCUGAAUCAUCCCUAAUUAUAUAUAUAUAUAUAUAUACUAAUAUGUUUAAUAUACUUUAUAUUAUAUCAUAUAUACUAUAUGUAUAUCAUCUUGAUAUCUAAAUUUAGCUUUAACUAGUAUAUAUGUCUUGUAUUAUAUGUGAAUGAGCGGAAUGGAUCGGAUAGACCGUCAAACCGUCCAUGGCCUUUGAAGGAGAUAAUCUAUACAUUAUUCAGGGAAUAAUGAUUAACUAAAUGGAUGAUAUUCGAUUCUAUGCUUUCCGCUUUCGAUGCUUACACGUAUAAGAAAUUUCAUCCUGAAUAAUAUCAGAACUUACAACUUUAUAUUUUAUAUCUUGGAUAUCUUCAAAGAAAACGAAUGUUCAUAUGCAAAUGCAAGCGGAUAAUUCAAUAUUUCAAUAGAAAAAGUAUAUAAAAGCUCUCGUUACAAGAGUAUGUUGGUUCCUUUCGUAACGGAAAAGCUUUUUCUACAUAAAGGCCAUUGGCUUUCUUUCCCCAAAUCAGACUAAAACCAAAAUCCAAAGAUAACACAAACAGACACACACACAAAAAAAAAAAAAAAAAAAAACACAUUUCUUCUCGUCUUUGUACUUCUAUGGCAAUGACUCAAAAGGAUAGGAAUACAAGGAUCGCUCAAAAGAGUUUUGAAAUGGUCGAUAAGGUGUACGGUAAGUCCCAAAAAAUAACCUCACCACCACAUGUUCUUAGAGACGAGUUCGCUUCUCGUUUUAACCAAAAUUCUUACGAAUAUGGUGGUCCAAAAAUUUAUACCUUCAAAGAGGCGACUAGUACUACUAGUUGCCACCGAGUCAUGUAUAAGUAUUCAAACGAGUCAGCUAUAAAAGAACCCGUUGUCUCUCACCCCGUGGAACAUAUUCAAUACUUUGGCGGCGCCCGUCCUUUUAUCGGCCAUGCUAACCGGUUUGAGAGGCCGAAAGGACGGGCUAUUAGCUGCGACGAGGCGGUCCGACUCUAUGGAGGGGUGCUUAUUAAGGAAUUUCGUAAUUAAGCGGGGCAAAACUCAACUUAUGUCCUUUAACGACAAAGUAAAUCAAGUUAUGUCGAAGAUUCAGUGUGAGUUUGUAAGUAAGUGUGAUAUAUUUUGUUUCUGUUUUCGGAAAAAUGUGCAGAUCAACUCAUAUGCUAAAGCCUGUUGUAGUGGUGUUCACUUAAAAUAAGCUUUAGUACACUACCAAGUGUUUGUAUCUGUUAUGUAUCUACAAGUAAGCUGAUAAAGCUUAUGUAAUGUAAAGUGUUACGGUAAAACUACUACUAAUAAUGGAAAUUUGGAACCUAUCUGCCAAUGUAAACAUAUGUGUUCUUAACUUCUUGUAAAUAUGCAUAAGCUACGCAAAGAACCGCCCCUGAUAUUUUAUAGGUUUCAAACCGACUAAAAAUUAGAUAUAUCGGACUUUUUGACACAUAUCUUGAAUUUUUAAAUGUGAAACAAAAAUAUUCAUAAGAAGUAUAUGAAAAGUUGAUUAAGCAAUACCUGAUAUAUAAAAUAAAAUAAAACGACAAGAGCAUUGAUUCAAUACAUUCUACCUAGAAGAGAUGACAAUUGUGAAUCUGAGAUCUUAAGUUAGGACUUUGUAUGAUUAAGCGAGAUGGGAACAAACCCUUUUAAGUAGGUUUAGAUUUAUUCUAUAUAACAAAUUUGUUUUUGAGUGUGGAAGUGUCCACUCUCGCCGGUUUUAUGGACCAUGUUGAAAUGAAAUAUGGAAAAGAAAGAAACUUAUUCCAAAAGAAAGAAACGGUAACCGAACCAACAAACAAAUAAGGGUAAACCAUUUCUGAUAUAAAUAUUGAAAAAGAUCAACUGAAGGUCUGAAUCCUUCUCCACUGUUUUUCAUUAUUUAAGGGGAAUAACUUAAGGUUGCUUCUCCUCGGGUUCUUUGGUCUAAAACAGUAUGAUUUAAGGAAAGGGUCAUGAGGUUCUCAUUAGGCUAACGGUUCAGAAUCGAUUACUAACUCGGGAUAAGCUUAUCUGUUGGAGCUUGAAUGUUCCUAUCCGACAGCUUGUGUGUUUUGAUCCUCAAGUGUGGAAUUCCACAGCCACUUGUUCUUCGACUGUGUGUACUCUGUUUUCAUCCGGCUACCGUUUGCUUCUGCAAUACGGCAACUACGGCCUUCAUGCUUCCUUGGAAUCUGCAACUGGCUUACAUAGUUAGUUGAAGGAAUCUCUUCAGGGGCAUCAAAGGUUCUGUAACUAUUUCUUCAAGUAACCAUCUAAUCUCUUUGGUGUGAACUCAACUCUUGGAUCUUCUUGGACAAAUCAUCAUCGCCAACUCGGUUGAAACAUGCCAUUGACCGCACAAUUAGAGAUAGGCUUCUCUCACUUCCUCUUUUGGACCCGAUCUCAGUGAACUUAUCCCUCCUUGAAUUUUACUUCAGUUGUAUGUGAAUGUAUAUAACAUUUCAAGAAUGCACUGGAUCUGUUCAGUCUUGGAACCAUGUGGAGAGAAGAUUGGAUUAAAGUGUGAAACUUAUCGCUCUCGAUGAAUCUCACAAACACUCGCUUAGAUCGAUUCAGAUAUCGAAUGAGAAAGACUUGAAAGUAAACGACACAGAGAUUUAACGAGUUCAGGGCAUUAACUAGCACCCUACGUCUUGCCGGCGAUACUUCACCGGAAUCCACUAUCACUUGAGCUCAAUACAAGCUACAACAAUGUCGCUCUCUCUCUACAAGAUUCUCACUCUUCCUCUCUGUUACAAUCUUCGUCACAAGAAGAAGAAGAUGAGUCAACUCAAGGUCAUAUAAGACCGUUACAGACACGCUUAAACCUCUCACACGCGUGACCAAUGAAAGAGCUCCAUCUAGUGAACUUAAAUCGUACCGGAUUGACUACUUAAUCCUCGGUUAUCUCGAGCUGGUCAGCUCCUUGAAGACCUUCUUAAUCACCUAGAGUCUUCGGCACACUUAGUCUUUACCGACUAAUGAUUAUGACUACUAUUCCUUCAAAUCUCCACCUGUAACCAUGAUCAAUAUUCCUGGUGAAGUUCCUUGCAUCCGAAACUCGGACGCCUGCAUUCUCAAGGAGAAUGCUAGUCUCAGUUCCUCGAGACUCGAAGCAUCUUCAAUGCUUCAUGAACUUUAUUUACGGGCAAUACUUUGGUAAAGAUAUCUGCAGGAUUGUAAGCUGUUGAUAUCUUCGAUACUUGUAUUUCCCCUUUGCUGAUCAAGUCUCUUCCAUAGUGAUAUCUCACAUCCAUGUGUUUAGUCCUUUCGUGAUGCACUGCAUUCUUGGACAGUGCAAUCGCGCUUUGAGAAUCACAAAAGACUUCAACUGAAUCUUGUUCAAAUCCCAACUCAGUGGCAAAACUUUUUAACCACACAGCUUCUUUGAUAGACUCGGCCAAAACAACAUACUCAGCCUCGGUCGUUGAUAAAGCCACUAUCUUCUGCAGUGUGGACCUCCAGCUAAUAACGUUCCCACCUGCAGUGAAAAGCAUUCCCGUAAUAGAUCUUCUAUUAUCUCUGUCCGCUGCAUAAUCUGAAUCACAAUAUCCCUUGAUUGUAAAUUUUCCCUUCUUCGUGUAACAUAAACCAACCUCCACUGUUCCUUUGAUGUAACGCAACACCCAUUUUACUGCUUUCCAAUGCUCUCUUAUAGGAUUGCUCAUAAAUCUGCUGAUCAGACCUACUGGAUAUGCUAAAUCCGGUCUUGUUCCCACCAUAGAGUACAUUAUGCUUCCGACUGCACUCUGAUAAGGUACAUACCUCAUCUCAGCCUCCUGAUCUACAAGUUCCUUGACUUAAGCUUGAAAUGAGCUCCCAUCGGUGUUGCAACUGGUUUAGAUUGAUCCAUUCCAUAAUUCCCCAGAAUCUUCAUUAGAUAACCUUCCUGAGAUAUCUUCAAAGUUCCUGCAACUCGAUCUCUAGUGAUCUCCAUACCUAGGAUCUUCUUAGCAUCUCCUAAGUUCUUCAUCUCGAAUUCAGUACUCAAUAACACUUUCAAAUGCUGAACUUGAGCUUUGUUAGUAGACGCUAUCAAUAUAUCAUCAACAUAUAGAAGAAGAUAUAUAUUCGAACCAUCAUUUAAUCUCUUAAAGUAGACACACCCAUCAUACUCACUCCUGGUGUAGUUGUUCUGAAUCAUGAAAUCAUCAAAACGCUUGUUCCAUUGUCUUGGUGCUUGCUUAAGACCAUACAGAGACCUUUUCAAAAGACACACCUUCUCUGGAUACUUGUUAUCUAUAAAACCCUCAGGUUGUUCCAUCAGAAUCUUCUCAUCUAGAUAACCGUGAAGAAAUGCCGUCUUGACGUCUAACUGUUGUAGUUCCAUGUCAAAGUGAGUAACUGCAGAGAGGAUAUAUCUUAUCGAUACAUGUUUUACAACCGGAGCAAAAAUCUCUUGAUAAUCGAUGCCCUCUUUUUGAGAAAAGCCUUUAGCCACGAGCCUGGCCUUAAAUCUUGGUGCCUCUACUCCAGCUAUACCUGCCUUUCUCUUAAAAAUCCACUUACAACUUAUUGGUUUCUGGUUCUUUGGUCUGUCCACCAGAUCCCAAGUACGGUUCUUCCAUAGUGACUGCAUCUCUUCUACCGAUGCCUCAACCCACUUAUCACUAUCUGGAUCAUUCAUAGCCUCCUCAUAACUAGCUGGCUCAGGAUUGCCUGCAUCUUCCGUUAAUCCACAUAUGAACUCUGCAUACUCACUUUCAUACUCUUUGUCAUCAUAAACCUCAUAGUCAUUAUACUUUUCUGGUAACCUCGUUUCUCUCCUCGGCCGAUCUCUUACCAGUUGAUAAUCACUCAGCCUUUGACUCUCAUUGCUCGUAUUCCCUGUAGCUCCAUGUUCUUGAGUCAACUGACCAUGAUCCUGCUGAGAUUCAUCUCUCGAAGCUCCAACUUGAGAACUUUCAUUUUCCUGUUACCAAUUGUCACCUGCAAAAUCAAAACUCAUAGACUUGUUAGUUAUAUUUUGAGGUUUUGGAAUACCUGUUUGGAGCUCCACCUUGAUGUCCUUAUACAUCUUGUCCUCUCGGAAGACAACAUUUCUGCUGAUGACACACUUGUUGCCUUCUAAUAACCACACUUUGAACCCUUUGACACCCUCUGGAUAUCCUGUAAAUACUCCUCUUUUGGCCCUUGGAUUCAACUUUCCUUCAUCUGAAUGAACAUAUGCCACGCACCCAAACUUCUUUAAACCAUCUAGAGAAGGCAUCACCGAAGUCCAUAUCUCUUCUGGUAUACCGAAGUUUAAAGCAGAUGACGGUGAUCUGUUUAUCAGGUACACUGCUGUGGCUGCAGCUUCAGCCCAAAACUUGUGCUCCAGACCACUCUCACUCAACAUACUCCUAACCUUGUUCAUGAUUGUUCAAUUUAAUCUCUCUGCAACCCCAUUCUGUUGAGGAGUGUAAGUACAUGUUCGAUGUCUUACGAUCCCUUCAUCUUUACAGAACCUGUCGAAUUGUUGGUUACAGAAUUCUAAACCGUUAUCUGUACGAAGCUUCUUAACCUUCCUUUCUGACUGAGUUUCAACCAUCUUCUUCCAAUCUACAAAAUGGCUGAAAACCUCAUCCUUGAAUCGCAGGAAAUAAAUCCAAACCUUGCGAGUAUAGUCAUCUGUAAAGGAAAUGAAGUAUUGCUUCUUACUUAGACUCAUGGGAACAUUCGGUGAACCCCAUAAGUCCGAGUGAACAUAAUCUAGUUUCUCCUUUGUAACAUGUUGAGCUUGACCAAAUGAUACCUUAUGCGAUUUUCCAAUUACACAUUCUUCACAAAACUUCAGAUCAGAAACUUUGUUGUUCUUAAAACAACCCUUCUUUGCCAGCACUUCCAGACCUUUCUGACCUAUAUGUCCCAUUCUACUGUGUCAUAACUGCAUGUAAUCACCACUGUCCUGAACCUGUGUUGCAUUGCUCGACUCUGCCAAGUGAGAUUGAGCAACCAUGGCUGAACCUUGAAGAAUGUAUAAAGACUCCUUUCUAAGACCCUUCAUGAAAACUGUGCAUCCUUUUAUAACCUUGAGAAUUCCUUGUCCUCCUUUGAAUUCGCAACCUUUCUCCUCAAGAGUGCCUAGAGAUAUCAGAUUUCUAGAAAUCUCAGGCAUAUAUCUCACCUCAUGGAGAACAAACGUUGUUCCAUCAGGGUUUCUGAACCUGAUAGAACAUAUUCCUUUAACUUCCGAGAUAGAGUUAUUAGCCAUUCUAGCUCUUCCCUUAGACGUUUCCUUCAGACUAAUAAAGCAUUCUUUCCGUGGAGUCAUAUGGAAAGAACAUCCUGUGUCCAUAAUCAUCUUUGGUAAUCUCUCCCAUGCUAAGAUUAAGUUCUGCAACAAGAAGACCAACUAAAUCUGCAGCAUCGUCUUUGACAUUCUUUACCAUUGCAGAUUCACCACUGCUCUGAGUUUGUGACUUAUUAUUUUUUCUCUCAAGCCACUUAUAGCACUGCUUCUUAUAGUGUCCUUCUUUUCCGCAGAUCCAGCAAACUCGUUUACCAUCUCUUGACUUAGACCUGGACUUAUUGCCUUUGUUCUUGCCUGACUGAUUUUCUCUAGACUCUGAUCUACCCCUCACAUAAUGACCUUCACCAUCAGACUUAUUGCUAGUGCUGUUCUUGAAUUCUCUUUCUUUAGACUUAGCAGCAUUAGUGAUAUCCUCUAACUUGAUCUCAGUAUUUGAAUAUUUGAGAGUAUCCUUAAGUUGAUCAUACCUCGUAGGCAAAGCAUUCAGUAGAAGAAUUGCUUGAACCUCCUCAGGAAUCUCUAUGCUGAGAUUACUCAGAUCUGUGAUCAACUUUAAGAAAUCGUCUACAUUUUGAUCAAUCGUUCUAGAUUCCUGCAUCUUGAAAGAAUACACCAUGAGCUGAGCGUGAACUCGAUUAGGUAGAGACUUUACCAUGUAGAGUCGCUCAAGAGUUGCCCAGGUAUCAGCUGCUGUGGUGCACUUGUCUAAUUUCCUUAGUACUGAGUCUGAGACACUCAUGAAUAUGAUAUUCAUUGCCUUCUCGCAUCUUUCAGGUCUCUUGGCAUCUAAUUCUGCUUUCUUCUUGAGUUUUUCCGGAUCCGUCUCCUUUUCUUCUUUGUCCGAGUCUUCUUCGCUUUUAGGAGUGAGAAAAUCCUUUAAGCCUUGAAUACUAAGAUGCGCCAUCAUACGCUUCAUCCAGAUCCCGAAAUCUCCUUCGCCAUCAAACGGAACGAUCUCAUAACGAGACGUUGUCGUCGUCGUCAUCUCUGAUCUCUCGAGCUAUCGACGAACCUGGCUCUGAUACCAAUUUGUGAAACUUAUCGUUCUCGAUGAAUCUCACAAACACUCGCUUAGAUCGAUUCAGAUAUCGAAUGAGAAAGACUUGAAAGUAAACGACACAGAGAUUUAACGAGUUCGGAGCAUUAACUAGCACCCUACGUCUCGCCGGCGAUACUUCACCGGAAUCCACUAUCACUUGAGCUCAAUACAAGCUACAACAAUGUCGCUCUCUCUCUACAAGAUUCUCACUCUUCCUCUCUGUUACAAUCUUCGUCACAAGAAGAAGAAGAAGAGUCAACUCAAGGUCAUAUAAGACCGUUACAGACACGCUUAAACCUCUCACACGCGUGACCAAUGAGAGAGCUCCAUCUAGUGAACUUAAACCGUACCGGAUUGACUACUUAAUCCUCGGUUAUCUCGAGCUGGUCAGCUCCUUGAAGACCUUCUUAAUCACCUAGAGUCUUCGGCACACUUAGUAUUUACCGACUAAUGAUCAUGACUACUAUUCCUUCAUAAAGAUUAUUAGAUUCAUUACAUAUUCUUGAAAUGUUAUAUAUAACUUAUGUUUGGAAUGAAAAACUCCAUGUGGUAGAAUGUUUUUUUUUUUUUUGGGUCUGAACUCCGUGUAAUUAGCAAUCACAUUUUCUGAAGAUAAUUGAUAUAUAGCAUUCCAUAUACGCACAUAUAUCCAAUUUUGUGACUAAUUACCUCCAAUGAUAUAAAAAGAAGAUUAAAUUUCCCGCAAGUAAAGCAAAAACCAUUGGUAAGAAUUGCUUUUCUUUUAAAAUGACAAACUAAAUUACUACCUCAUGUACGUUAACGGUAAAUAACUAACUUUCCCUCCCUUCUUCCACAUAUAAGUAGGACUUCGAAAACAAAAAUGGUAAAAUACUAGAAAAUAAAAAAAAAUUGCAAAAAACAAAUAUGUGGAAUGAAUGGAACGAUUCAAGCAAGAUGAAAACAUAUGCCUUGGUGGGCGUCACAUCCCUCUUGAUGGCAAUGGCCGUGUGCGCAAAGGCCGAUUAUAACUACACCAUCCCGAUUCGAAAAACCGCAGAAAUCCACCGUGAAAGCAAGCUUGUGAUAACAAAGACGGCAGUGAACAUAAUAUGUUCCUCCACAGAUUACAAACAAGAUUGCGCAUCGAGUCUCGGGACUGUGAGGUCCCCGGAUCCUCGGAACCUGAUUCGAUCUGCUUUUGAUCUAGCAAUCAUAUCGAUCCGGAGUGGAAUCAACAGGGGAAUGAUUGACUUGAAGGGCAGAGCGGACAAGGAUAUGCACAUGAGGGAGGCACUUAAUAGUUGCCGAGAGCUUAUGGAUGAUGCCAUUGACGAUCUUCGAAAAACGAGGGAUAAGUUUGGAGUGUUUUUGUUCACUAGAUUCUCAGACUUUGUUGAGGAUCUUUUGGUGUGGCUUAGCGGUUCGAUCACGUUUCAACAAACGUGCAUUGAUGGAUUUGAAGGGAUUGAUAGCGAAGCUGCAGUAAUUAUGGAGAGGGUCAUGAGGAAAGGGCAGAUUCUCACCAGCAAUGGAUUAGCGAUCGCAUCUAAUCUCGAUGGUUUAUUGAAGAGUUUCCGUAUACCAAUCCUUACGGUACGUAAGACGUUACAGUUUAUCAAAACUAGGUCACUACAUUAGGUUCAAUGGUUUUAACUUUUUUUAAGUGAAGUUUUUAAUAACUAAAACGACUUUAAUGACAAAAAAAAUUGAUACAACUUUUUUGGUUUUGAUAUAUCUAACUAUUAUUUUGUUUUUAGUGUAUUUUUUCUUUAUAUAUAUAUAUAUAUAUAUAUAUAUAUAUUGAGUUGCUAUCUUUUAUUGACUUGAUGUCUUUAACAGUCAAGAAGGGAUCACAGACUCGGCAUUUUUGGUUCGGGUUCUUCACAAGAACAGCCUAUGGAUUCUUCGGAAGAUCUUCCUCAAAAAGGAGAUUCUUCCCAGAGCUCUCCUAAAAACAUGGACUCUUCCCAAAAUCAACCCUUGGAUUCAUCCGAGAAUCAACAGUUGGAUUCUUCCAAGGAUCCUCCUCAAAAAUUGAAUCCUUCCGAGAAUCGGCAGUCAGGUGGUGUUUCCGAGAAUCAGCAGCCGAAUCUUUCUGAGAAUCGACCGUUGGAUUCUCCUGAGAAUCAACCAUCAGAUUCUUCCAAUAAUCGACCUCUGGAUCCUCUUAGAAAAUUAAAUCCUCUAAGAAAACUUGAUCCUCUUGCAAAAAUGGAUUCUUUAAAGGAUCGACACUUAUCAGAGGGCGGAGAGUUCCCAAGGUGGGUAACAUCCCAUUCGCGGAGGCUGCUUGCAGCCCCCGCGAAAAGAAUCAACGCGAACGUAGUGGUGGCAAAGGACGGGAGUGGUAAGUGCAAGACAAUCGCACAAGCAUUGGCAAUGGUACCAAUGAGAAACACAAGGAAGUUCGUGAUUCAUAUAAAACAAGGUGUUUACAAGGAAACAGUAGAGGUAACAAAGAAAAUGGCUAACGUCGUGUUCGUCGGAGAUGGACCAACAAAGACCAUUAUCACCGGAGACAUCGCCUUCUUGCCUAACCGCGUCGGCACCUACCGCACUGCCACCGUCGGUAAAUUCAUUUUAUAACAUUUGACCUAAAAAUUUUAAUACAGUUUACGUAAUAAUCAAGUAACCUAACUAUCAAGUGACAUUCCUAAUAAAAUGUUAAUUUCUUUGGUGUUUUUGAAGCGGUGAACGGUGACUAUUUCAUGGCAAAGGACAUAGGGUUCGAAAAUACGGCCGGAGCCGCACGUCAUCAAGCCGUCGCACUACGAGUUUCGGCUGAUUUCGCUGUCUUUUUCAACUGUCAUAUGAAUGGUUACCAAGACACACUUUACGUCCACACCCACCGUCAGUUCUACCGUGACUGCCGCAUCUCAGGGACCAUCGAUUUCGUCUUUGGUGAUGCCAAAGCUGUCUUCCAAAACUGUGAAUUCGUCAUCCGCCGUCCAAUGGAUAACCAGCAGUGCAUCGUUACGGCCCAAGGACGUAAAGACCGGCGUGAGACGACCGGGAUCGUUAUCCACAAUAGCCGUAUAACCGGUGAUGCAACAUACCUUCCCGUCAAAGCCAAGUAACCAUAAUAUUACCAUAAAUUAACUUCAAUUCAAGUUACUAGCCCUACAUUCAUUUCCAGCUAAUCUCAUUACACAUAUGGACCUUUAACAGGAAUAGAGCGUUUUUGGGACGACCAUGGAAGGAGUACUCGAGGACAAUAAUAAUGAACACAGAGAUAGAUGAUGUAAUAGACCCGGAAGGGUGGUUGAAGUGGAACGAGACGUUUGCACUCAACACGUUGUUCUACUCUGAGUAUCGCAACAGAGGUCGUGGUUCGGGUCAGGCCCGUCGGGUCAGGUGGAGAGGUAUCCGACGAAUGUCCGAUAGAGACGCUAAGGAGUUCUCUCCCGGGAACUUCUUACGUGGCAACGCGUGGAUCCCACAGACGCGCGUGCCAUACAAUGCAAAUUGAAAGCCUAUCUCUUUAUCGUCGCGUUCUUUUUUUUUUUUUGUAUUUAAUUGUGUAUAGAAAUCCGGAGAGAAAGAGGAUUUGUACAUAAAUUAAAUUUUGAGAGGUAUAUAUUAUAGGUGUAAAUUAUACUGAUGAUAAUGUUUCUCCUACAACUUAUGUGACGAAUAACUUGGUCAAAUAAAAAAAAAACUUAUGUGACGAAUACCUUUAAUUUGACAUAUAUUCCAUAUGAAUAAAGAGUUUGAGGUCAUUUUUUUAAAUUAAAUAUAAAAUUUAUUCAAAAAAAAAACUAUUGUAUAAUGAAUGCAAUAUUUUUGUUUGAGAACACAGAUGAAGCUUUACAAACACAAUAUUAAUCUUAUACGUACUUUUUGUACAUAGUCCAAACAUCUCAUCCUAAUAAAGAAAUUAACUGAGUGUUAGUGUAAUGCUCGCAAACGAAGUGGUUUCACUUGAAAGUUGUCAUUUUUUUGUGUUUGUAAAACGAACACUUAAUACAUAAGAGUACGAGUAUUCAUCACAAUUUAAUAAAAGUUAUCUGGUAGAUCACUUGUUCUUGCUAUUUUAAAUAGACAAUUAGAACAGUCCAAAGAUACAUUAGGCUAAGCAAAAAAAAAAUUCACAAACUCGUGCGAGGAUUGUAUCCUAACCACUUUAAUAAAAAAAGAGUUUUAACUGACUAAUUCUUAACCGUGUAGGCUAGUAACCGAGUGAUCUUUUCAAAGAAAUGUUAUCAGCAAAUUUAAAUAAUCAAAUUUUCUAAUAUAUACUAUUAGACUAUGUACAUUGGUUUCAAUAUUCAACACCUUAUUUUUUCUCUUUUAACACUUCACAUCAUCAUAUCUCUCUUCCACCUAAUAAUUCAACAUUCAUUCAAUUUUUAAUCUCUACAAUUACCCCACCAUUUCAAUAAUUUAUAUUUAAUAUAUUUUUUAAAAAACAUUUUUUUCUGUGUUCAAAUUGAAUAAAACAAGUCUCUACUAAUAUAGUACAAAAAAUGAUGAAUUUUAAUAUAAUUUUUGUUUUCAAAAAUAAUAAUUUACUAUAAAAUAAUUAAUUUCAAAUAACUAGAGUGAAAUAAAAAUUAGAGAGACAAACAGUCUCUCUCCUUGUGUGAAUAUGAUUGGUUCAUGUGGCAACAUAUGUCUCUACCACUUUCAUUUUUCAACAUGUUUAUUUAACAUCAGUUAAUCCACAUCAGAUUCACAUAUUUUUCAACACUUUCAUUACAGCAAUUCAACAGUUGAAUAUAUUUUUCAACACUUCCAUUAUAAUAAGUAGUCUUAAACUAGAUAUACCCUAUGAUAUAUGGAGAGAUAGACUUUCCAAAAUACAUUCUAGAUCCAUAUAAAACUAAUUCGUAUAUUAUUAUUUGAGUAGAUAUUUACAUAAAUAAACUUUUAUUUGUAAGAUAUUAUAAAAUAUUUUACAUAAUUGAAUAUUUAUUUAUAAGAUAUAAUAUUAAUAAACUUUAUAAAUAUAAAAAAACUCAAUUAAAUAUUCAUUUGUAAAUAGCUAAAUAUAUAGCUCACAGAUUUGUUUUGAAUAUAUAUGGAUAUAAAUCAAAAGUGUAUUUAAUUGGUUUACUUAUUAAAAUAUUAAAUAUAUUUUAUUAUUUUAAAUAAUUAUCAAUCCAUAUAUAUGAAAUUUUUUUUCAACAUUUUUCAUUUAUAUUUUUAUAAUUAAUUAGUAUCAUUUUCUAAAAAUCUAUUCAAUUAUUUUUAUAAAAAAAUUGAAAUAUGUUUUUAAAAUUUAAAUUGUAUUUUUUAUGGAUUGGUCAAAAUUAUUUUUAGUAAAUUGUGAAAUACAUUAAGUAAAUGAAUUUGUCCACUUUGACAAUCUUAUAUAUAAUCAGUAUUAACAUAUAUUAUAGAAUUCAGUAACUAAAAAUAAUAGUUUAAUCUCUAAUAAAAUAUUCACAAUUAAUUUUUUUUUAGGAUAUAUAUAUAUAUAUAUAUAUAUUAAGAUUCUAAUCCAUGUUGGUAUGUAUAUUCACAUCAUAUAUCGCUUUCAUAUUUAAAAAUUACUAAUAAUUAAACCGCAUAACAAAACUACCUCAAAGUUUUAUUCGAUGAUAUAUAUACAAGUAAAUAUCGGGUGUGCGAUAUCUAUAUAUGUAUUGUUAUCUACUCGCUACCAAUUUUAUUUAUCUAUAUUUGUUGUUAAAAGAUUUUUUUCACCAAUUUAAUUUAACAAAAAAAUUAAAAUUAAAUUUAAAGAUAAUUUUAGAAAACAUUACCUGGCAUAAUGUACGGGUUAAUUCUUAAUUAUUUGAUAAUAGAGAAAGCACUACAGACUUUAACAAAAGAAGAGAUACAGACUUAGGAAAUAUGUAUAUAGAAAGAAUAAAGUUCAAUCAUAUAAAAAGGAAACAUUUAUAUUUUUUUUACUUUUACAUGUAAGAAAUUUUAUUUUUCCAUGCUCUGUUCGCACUAGCUAGUACGCAAUAAAUUUUAGUUGAAUCAACCUAUAAACGAUGAGUUUGCUGCAAAUCCACUUCAAAUAAAUCUCUAGGUAUACUAAAGACAUCAUCUCUGAUUCAGUAAAGGAUCAGGUAAAUAGAAUGAAACGAUUUUUUAUUUUAUUUAGAAACUUCAAGAACAUAUAACUUUUCCCCACGAGAUUAUUUCUUACCUCUGGGUUAUAACAGGAAACUAAGUUGACCUAUUGUCUCUCACGAUAGAAUUAUUUAAGAACAAGAGAAAAUAAAUGAAAUAGAAAAUUCCAACAAUCACCAAUUAUUAGAUCACUAGUUUAUCUCCCUCUGUGAUCACCAUUGAUUCUUUUCUCUAGUAGUUUCCUUGUUACGUUUAGAACUUGCGUUGGAGACAUUGUAGAGAACACAAUGUAUCUCCAUACAACUUAUAGAUGGUUGGAAAUUCACAGCGAGAAUCACACCCGUCACAAACUGGUCGAUUUAUACGAUUAUUAGGAAUACAAUACCUGUAACGGGAGUUGCCAACAGAAGUCUCACCUCUCGUUUCAAUCCAUGUAAAGUCUCCAAGCGUGCAUUUGACAUGAAAAGUGAUGCCACAAUGAUUACAUGAAUAAAACCAUUUCUCUGGAUCUAAAACUUCUUCGCAUAUCUCGCACCAGUACCGAUCACUCGUUUGUUCUCCAUAACAUAGAAACAGAAAAUGAGCUUUAUCGUAUUUGUGUUUAACCAUUUUUGGCAAAAUAGAACAUUUAAUGCCUAAAACAAAUCCACACUCAUCACAACUCAGAACCAUAGUUUCCCUGUCUCCACAAGCACUACAAAAACUGUCUCUCGCUGAGUAGUUGAUGUAUAACGAAUGAAGAGGAUGACUUUCAUGGACAAAAGGUUCAGAAAUAGAACCACAUCUCACAUCCAGAUAGAUUUCCUUAUUAUCACUUACGUAUAUAAAACCCUGGGAAUAGUUUUUACAAGCAUCACAGAGCAAUACAUCGUCAAAUGGGCGUAGAGUCAUUAGCAUCUUGAAGAAGGGAUCUAUUUUCUUUUUUGGGAGAUAAGCACAUUUCUGAUGAAGAAUGAAAUCAUCGCAUUCCAUGCAAUAGUAGAAUGGACUAGAAAAUAUGGGAUAUGUGCAUGCUUUACACAGCAUGUAUUCAUCAUUACCAUCACUCUCUUCUUUGAGCUUUAAAGUAUGCUCCUCGUGACUAAAAUGCUUUAUCACUCCUUCUUCGAUCACCUCGUAUGAUUUAACCUCUAGAGUAUCUUCCGAUAUGCUUUCAUGUUCAAUCCCAUCCCAAAUUCCAAACUUUGUGGCACACCUCAAAUGAAUUGCAAAAUCAGGACACUCAGAACAAGAAUAAGCCCCACAUGUCCAUUUUAUCUCUUUACGACACACGCCGCAUCUCCAUUCUCCAACAUCAAGGCAAUGAUUGUAAGAAAUACGAUGAACAUGACGAUUUAUUUUAAUGAUGCGCGGUAUGUCUAUACAAUUUCUAUGGAUCAUGAAAUUGCAUUGAGGACAUACAUAAGGAUUUGGGUCGUCGUCCAUACCACAAGCGUUACAAACAAAACUUCGUUGCGGCAUAAGAAUGAGUGGAUGCGCAUGAGCCUUCGGGUGAACAAGAGUGAAAGGAGGUGGAUUCUUUGCACAAUUGACAUCCACACUAAAGUUGCAAAUAGAACAAUGAUAAAACACGUUAUGAAGCUUGUUUCCACAUAAACAACAUUUUCCAUUGGUGUAACUUGGAAUACGUGUGAGACACUUAAGAGGAUGUUUAGGAUGAGAAGAGUAGUUGAUCUCCGGUGUGGAUUCGCCACAAUCUUUGUGAAAGCUCAAAUCACAUAGGUUACAUACAUAAGGGAACCGGUCAUCAAGUAGUCCACAUAGAUGACAAGUAAACCUUAUUACCUCAGGAACAAGAGAUAACCGAUGCUCGUGAAUCUUUGGACCUUCGAUGUGUAGCAUAACUUCUUUUUUUGCGCAUAUCAAAUCAAUGGCAAAAUCACAUAUAGAACAAUAAUAAUACAUUUUCGGCAAGUUACCUCUACAAACUUUGCAUUCUCCAUGGGCAUCCUCAUUUUCUGCAACUAUCUUCAUUUUCAAAGAAUGUUGUGGAUGAUAGAGGUUGCAAAUCACUAGGCUAGAGUCUGUGCACUCCUUGUGAAAGAAGAGUCCAGAACGAAGGCAACGAUAACCAUCACUAUAGUAGCUUUCACCAAGAUUACAGCCGGCACAUUUUAACCCGCGUGUUGGGUAUACAUGAUAAACUUUUCUGAGUAUUUCCAUAUUAUCUGCUUUUACUUUAGUAUUUUCUAAAAUUGUCUUAUGUUUUCUUUUCAUUUAGUGAUGAGAGCUUUCCUUUAUAUAUAAACAUAUAAUAGAGAAUAGGGAAAAAAGCUUAAAAAACCCUCAAGUAUUUAAUAUUUGCCAGUUUACUACACGACCUUUUUGCGUUGCCAUAAAAAUACAUGACUUAAUUUUCUGGUCCUAAUAAAAACACGACAUGUUUGUUGAUUCCAUUUUACCUCCCCCGAUUUAACAGACCUAAACGGGAUUAACGUUGUCGUUAAACUGCGUUAAUAAUCCGUCACACGUGCUUAUUAAUUGACUGGAAAUUACGUUUUUAUCCUCACAGAAGUCUUCAAAAUCGAUUUGGGGCAGAGUAAACCCUAAUUUUACUAAACUCAUCUCUUCACUUCCUUUCAAAAUCGAGAGAGCAAUGGACAUAAGCCAAAGUUCAGGGUCGGUAGCAAGCAAAGUGCAUGCGCGAUUGGGUCAUGUCUGCAAAUGUGGGAGGUCCACAAUGAUUCUGAAAGCAUGGACAAAUGAAAAUCCGGGCAGAAGAUUUUACAAAUGCGAUGAACAUGGGUUUGUGUCAUGGGUUGAUGAAGAAAAGCCGCAUGGUUGGCAGAAAAUGAGCUUACUGGAGGCGCGGGAUGAGAUUCGUCAUCAGAAAGAAGAAAUCAAGGUACUUAAGGAGUCUCUUAAAUCGCUUAAUAAACAAAUCAGCGGUGGGGCAGUAACAUUUGAGUCGACAUCUGUUAAUACGGAUUGGUGCAGCAAAGAAGAGAAGAAAAAGCUUGAACAUGAAGCUAUGGUUUCCAAAGAGAGGGAGAAAUUACUGCGACAGUUCAUUGUUAUCUCUUGGGGGGGGGGGGGUUUAUUGUUGUCGUGGGUAUGGUCCUUGCCAUGAAAAAAUGAGUUAUGGUAAUUGUUGUUGUAGUAAGCUGUCUUUGUAGUAUGAACUUGUGUUCUAUGUCUUGUCGUGUUUUCAUUUUGGUGUUCUAUCGGUGUAAGAUCUAGCACUUGAUGUGGUUUAUGUAAAAAACAUCUAUGAUUAUCAUCAAUUUUCUCUUUGUUAAUCAGCCAAGUUUAGCAAGUUUAACCAAAAUAACAAACAAACAAGGUGGAGAGUACCAAAAACUAGUUCAAAUAGUUCCACAUUCCAAAGAGAGUCAACACAAAUAUCCGAAGAAAACAGCAAUCCAUCAAAGUUGACAAUACAUCCCUAAAGAUGAUUACAUGAAAAUGUUUGCUUUAACCACAGGUACGGAGGCUUAUCUUUGGAAUAUGUCUUCCUGGAUAUAAACGUCUCCUCACGGUGGAAAGCUUCCCAUUCUUCAUCACUAUCUAAUGCAGGUUCAGGAUGCUCAGGAUCCACGCAUUGCCUCUCAAAUUCAAGCUCAUAUGCUUCAUCACCUUCCACAGCUUCCCCAUUAUUGCUUUGAAUACCAGCAGGAUUGACGUCUGUUCCACUUUCAUUAUCAGCACCAGUUCCUGAACCAGUUUCAACAUUGAGGACUUCCUGAAAAAAAGACUGUACUCUAGGAUCACCAGCUCUUUCUUCUAUCGGAUCUUCACCCUUAUCAGCGAGUUCAUCUGGUUUAUCACCACCAUCAGAAUCUUCACUAUCAGACUCGUUCUCUUUAGCUUCUUCAGUUGCUCCUUGAAGAAUGUACACAUCAACCUCACCUGUAGUCAUAGCUUCACUACACAUCUGCCUAAUCUGAGCAUCCUUGUCGGCAUAAAUCAUUCUUGCUGCACCUAUAUCUUCGUGCCUUAGCUUGUACCACACUUUUUCAACAACCCUAGAAGCUCCAUUUUCUUCGCAGAAUUCAUCAAAAAUCGACCAAGUUACGUAAUCAGGAUCCAGGACCAUGCCUCUCUCCACUAAACCUCCAUUGUAGCUGAACAGGUCGUCCUUGAUAGAAACUUGUCCUCUAUAAUGUAUAUCGACUUUGAAAGUGUCGCUGCACGAAGAUAAAAAAUGUUAACAGUCAAACCCAUUUCAACACAGAAAAAAUCGAAACUAUGUUCACCAUUUCAUCGUAGUAACAACUUAUUAUCAAACCCCAGCUCGAUUUCCCCAGGAAAUAUCGAAUUCCUAUUCGAAUUUGACCCCAAUAUCAACUCCCCAACAAAAUUCGAAUUCGGAUUUUAGAAAACAAACCUCAUCUUCUCGAAUUACUCUGAACUGUCUUCUAUAACAUGAGAUGAACUGUUUUCACUUUUAUUCAGAUACCCAAAAGCAUCUUCCACACUCUCGAUGCCAAAAUCGACUGAGGAUUUUUUUUUUUUAGGGUUUGCUGUUUUCCCAAAUCGAUUUGGGAAUUUUGUUAGGGCAACAGUGGAAAUAUCCCAAAUCGAUUUUGAAGACUUCUGUGAGGAUAAAAACGUAAUUUCCAGUCAAUUAAUAAGCACGUGUGACGGAUUAUUAACGCAGUUUAACGACAACGUUAAUCCCGUUUAGGUCUGUUAAAUCGGGGGAGGUAAAAUGGAAUCAACAAACAUGUCGUGUUUUUAUUAAAACCAGAAAAUUAAGUCAUGUAUUUUUAUGGCAACGCAAAAAGGUCGUGUAGUAAACUGGCAAAUAUUAAAUAUUUGAGGGUUUUUUAAGCUUUUUUCCCAUAGAGAAUAUGAUAUAAUCACUAUAUUAAGUUAUGCUUUGUUUACAUGAAAAGAAUACUCAAAGAAUUAUGCUUGUUUUUGAUGAUGAUAACACAACGAAUAAAUUCUUUGUAACUUAUUCAAAGAAGAAAAGUGCAUCUUAUUUUUAGGAUAUCUAUACAUCUAAGUGAUUCUUUGUUUAACUAAUUAAGAAGACAUUUUGUCAAAAAAAAAACUAAUUAAGAAGACAUUAUGAUUUCUAAAUUGUUAUCUAACAUGCGGAAACAAGUUAAGACCAACUAUAUAACCAUAACAUUUUUAUAAUAUCAUUUUGGUUUAUCUAAUAAGAAGAAAAAUAAUGUGUUUGGGUUAAUUAUUAUGUCUAUAGUUUUUUUAAUGCUCUGAGCUCUAGUUUUCUGGGUUAAAUGGGGUUUUUUUUUUGGUUGCAAACUCAUACUAGAUUCAUUUAUUGAAUCCUUGAGUCGUAUGGGUGGUAUCCAUGAUCCACUUUGCUCGGUUUGCAUCAGCACUUUUUAAUCUAUGUUUGCAUUUAUAGACCAAUUCUCAAGUUAAAUAAAUCCAAAGUAAAAUAUGGUCAGGUUAAUAUGAUCAUAAACUCAUUAUAUGACUUGCAAACAAUUCCCAUGUAUUUUAUAAAUCUAUCUUCCACUUCAAAAACGCAAAACAACUAUCCACCCAACUAAAAAAAACACAAUAAUUUUUUUGGAUUUCACGACCGUUAUUUUGAAAUAACAGUUCCUCAUCGAGACGUUUAUGUGAUAUUUAGAAAUCAGUCCAGCUUAGAAUUGGAUCGAUGCCAUAUAUAGAAAUCUAUCAUUUGACUCAUAUGGCAAAAAAAUAAUUAUUUUACAAUUUUAACUUUGCAUCUCAUCUAAAAACUUGACACCAAUCAUACGUGUCCACGUGGCGUUACAUUGACUGCUAAAGUCAACGAGUAUCUUCUCCUCCGAAAUCGAUAUCUAAAUCCGUCACCGGCAUGCUACAAGCCGGCGGCGAAACCACCGACGGAAACCCGAUAGAAGAAGAAGAAGAAGCGCUUCUCCGUUCUCGACUCAAAAUCCGUGUGAAAGAUAUCACUCGACUCAUCGGCGACCUAAACGAGUUACUCCGAGUCAAAUCGUUCUCUAACUCUCCGAGAUUCCUCUUCGGGAUUUCAAUCGCCGCCGGUUUUCUCCGGGAAUCUCCAGGAUCCGAAUUCUCAUGAGCCCCAGCUUCUCCGACGCGGUCCGUAUCGCAAAUUUCAGGUCUCGAACCCUGGUCGUCACCGGAAACCGGAUCAGAAAUCGAAAUCGCGACUUCCUCCACCGUUGAUUUCACUUCUCCGGCUACAGGCUCGACGAGCGAUCGACAUAGAGGACAAGAGGUAUGAGAACGAAACCACAUAUCGAUGCACUCGACGUGAAACACGUGCUUGCAAUUGGGCAAAACCCGACCCGUUUCGUUAUCCUCAAACUCCGAGAGACAAACCGCGCAAUCGAUCGCGUUUGCGUUUGCGGCGGAGAACGUGAAGACGGGAAGCGAUUUGAUGACGGAAGGGUCGAGGCCGCGAGUGGUGGUGACGACGGCGGUGGUGGAGGAAGGAUCGGCGAAGUAGAUGAUUGCGGCGGCGGCGCGAUUACGGCGAUCGAAGCGGCGGAGAUGGAAACGGCGAGAGCGGAGGAGGUACCAACGAGAGUAGAGAUGGAGAGAGAUCAUUAAAAUGACGACGAAUAAGAUUAUGAUUAUGGCGGUGAGCAUGAUUCUGCUGUUUAUAGCGAACCCGGCAGGAUCCGAAUUGGUUCCGGGUGUGGUGGUUACUGGGUUCGGGUCUCUAAAACUCAUGGUUUCGGAUCCUGAAGUGAGAAUCGAGAGAGAGAGUUGUAUGAAAUGAAGUGAAACUGUGAAAGGAAAGUUUUUUGAGUUUUAUUUUUUAGUAAUGGCAAGUGAGAGGGAGAGAGAUGGUUAUUUGGGGGACUUUCGGGAUUUGAAGAACGCCAACGUUGACUUUAUUAAUUGUUGACGGUUUUACCCUUUUGUUUCGUUUGAUUGAAUUUUCUUUGACGGAGUAUGUGAUAUUUCUUGAGUUUUAAUUUUUCAAAUCUUUCAGAGAAUAAGCUUUUUCAUUUUCUUCUUGUGGAGUGUAAAAAUGUUUAGAGCAAAACUGUUUGUGCAUAACAAUUGAAUCGAAAGUUUUUAACGGGAGAAGACAAUCCGUAAUAAAAAAAAAAUGAUAAAAAGGAUUCUAAUCACUAAUGAAUGUUAUAUGUGUGAACUCUCCAAAAACACUUCAAAUGACCAAGAUGAUUUUUUGGAACAUAUAUAUUAAGGGUUGAAUUGUCUGAUACAGUGAUCCUGCAUACAGCCCAAAUUUAGUUAUAAAAAAAACUUGCUUUGUAACUUACAACUGUAAUUACUAUUAAAAUAAAGUUUUAUCUGCGGUCAUAAAUAUAUGUAGUUAAUCCGCCCCAUUUUCGAUAAUCAUUUCAAGUCUUUCAAGGAGUAUGACACUAUUUUUAUUUGUCCCAAUCAAUUUCAAAAUUUAAAGUAUCAAAUAAACUUCUUUUUAUAUCAAACUUCAAACCAGAAUUUAAAUGGCUAUACUGAUUGACAAAAAGAAGGCUUUGGGGUUCAUGGCUUAGCGUUUAGGCGUUAGGAGUAUCAUUUAACAGAAGAAAAAAAAAAUAACAAUAAAAAAGUUGUCAAAAUUAAUUUUCUUCUCAUGGAGUGUAUAAAUUUAAUUUUUAUUUGAUAACAGUCGGUGAGAUCUGAUAAAUAGUUGAUGUCUACAAUCUGAGUCAAAUAAUAAAAGAAACUGAUAUCAAUGAUCACUAAAAGUCAUGUUCACUUAGUGGGACACCCCACGCAGAAGUCGGUACCUAGACUUCUUGCACACAAAGAAUAUUUUAUGACUAGAGAAGGAUACAAAAAAAAUCAGCAUUAGAAGUUUUACACUACAACACCAAGAGUGGUUUAUUUGUCAUUUUAAAGUUACCCAAUUAUAAGUUUAGCUUACUUUUUUCAUUAAUUUUAAUUUGCAUAAUUUUUUUUGUGUGUGUUUGAUAUUAUAAUAUUUUGACUGGUUGUUGCAUGGAGUUUCAUAAGAAGAUAUAUAAGACAUGUCAUGGUUUAGUUUAGUGUAGAUGUCUAUUAAAAGUGUGUUUUAAGUCAGUUUUCAUUGUAACAUGUCUUUUAUGGUUACAAACGUCCAUUUCAUCUUCUUGCCACAUUUUCUCGGAAGGUCUUGAAGAAGUAAAACUAAUCCUAAUGUCAAAGAACUUUAACUCUUAUAGCUUUGAGAUAUAACUGAAAGCUUGACUUUAUAAACCAUAAUAAUCAGGCAUUAACCAUAAUGGUGAUAGACUGUUAAUCAAACUAUAAACGUAGUUAUGUAAAAAAUGCCUAUCUUUGUAAAUUUUCCCAUUUUACAAGAAAACUUAGUUGUGAGUGUAGUAGCAGGAUUAGUUGCAUCUUAUGCUCUUGCAUGUAUAGUGGCAAAAAUCAACUUCUCAAGUUCUGAGUUGCAAGUAUUUCAUCGGUCUUCUUUAUGACGACUUUGACCGAGUUUUAUCCAUGUAUCGUGAUCUUAUCCCCAAUACAUACGUGCAUCAUUUUGAUUUAACGGUGUCGUUUACUUUUUUUUUUGGUAAUUUCUGUGCUUACUUAGUUUUUCUCUUAAUUUAAAUUAAAACAUUUUCAUGUAUAUCAAAAUGUGUAUUAUUAAUUUUUAGAUAGACCAACCAAUAUGUAAUAUCACAAAAACAUAUUUUUUAAUUAAAAUUAAUUAGAUAACAAGGAAAAUACAUACUAGUUAAGAUAUAAUUAUAUAGUUUUUCUUCUAUAAUCUGACCCCAACAUAUCUGGUUUUUUCUUUUUCCACCACCAUUGCUUCAUGCAGUUCUCCGGCUCUCGCCAUGUCAUUUCCUCACCAUCAUAUCUCUUCGCCGCAUACAAAUAAUUCCUCCAAUCCACAAGCACUUCUCUCAAAUCGUUAAUCUUAUUCUCCUGUCCCACACAACAAUUAGCAUGCAUUGUGCAAACCUUAUCCAAGUCCCGACCUGGCUCACAAAAUCCUCCGAAGUACGUUGUGUCGAGAAACCUCAUUGUUAGUCCAAUUUUUGCAAUAUACCAGCCUCCUUUUAUUUCAUUGAACACGUCCUGAUCGUGUUUAUCCGGAAACCACAGCCUCGAGCUGUACCAAUAGUUGUAAAAAUCUAUGGUUCGUGGAUUCGCUUGAACAAAAGUGAAACCACCAUUGACCUCGUUCUCGAUGUCUCUAUCGUCUCCAUUAAAACGAUCACACGCGAUUUGGAAAUCAACAUCUUUAGAUAGACGAGGGAGUGGAUCUCGAAACCACAAUAUAUCUACAUCCUACACUCAUUAACCAUACAUUAAUUAAUAAAAACAUCAAACAUAAAAUUAUAUGAUAUUAUAAUAAAAUUCUAACAUCUUGCUACUCACUAAUUCUUCUUUACUUAUCCCCAAAUUGAAACUAAUUAAUAUAAACAUAUCAAACAUCAAAUCAUAUGAUAUAAUAACAAAAUUCUAACAUCUUGCUACUCACUAAUUCUUCUUUACUUAUCCCCAAAUUAAAACUAAUCGAAAGAUCAGAAUAACCUAGUGAAAUAGUUUUCAACAAGAAUCACUAUUCAAAAAGGUAGAUAAACGAAAUAUUAAUCUAGGACGAAACCAAGACUAAUCUCCAUGUCUAUAGAAAACAUGAUUAUCUAUCAUUUGAAACAUAAAUCGUAAGAAGUAAUCAUUGAAAUUGAAUUAUAAGCCUAUUUCCCGAACCUUUUUAUGAAUUGAACACAAUCAAUUAGUCGUGAAUUUUAUAAACCGGCUUCUAGGAUUAAAAAGGUUAGUUAAUCAAUAUACUUUUAACCAACAAGUCAACAACAUGCAAAAAGGUUGACACAUUAAAAAUGAAGGGUACGUACAAAGAGGGAGAGAGAUAGAUACCGUGAAGAUAAAGUUAUAUCCGAGCUUUAACAAAGUACCCAAAAACUCUAUACGACGCCACAUCAUCUUGAGAUAGUCUGGCGUCAUGAACAUUUUAUCGUCGGAGAAAUCAAUUUCUUCGGUUUUCAUGAAGUAGCAGAGCCGAGGAUGGACCUCCAAGCAUCUAGAGUAGGCCUCCGGGUCGAGACAUGCCACCACAAGGUGUCGGAGCAAUGGCUUAGUCCCUUUUCCAACAUGAAAACUCUCAAGAAACAAAUCAAACGUCGAGUUUGGUUCAGACCAAGCCCGGUUUAAGGUGGUUAUUAUGACUGUCUUAUCCUCCGUUGCUGCUUCCCUCAGGAUCCUCCCCAAUUUUCUCACAUCUUCUUGGUGAUGCUGUCAAACAAUAUUAAACAAUUUUACGAAAAAAUAGUCUCUGAGAGAAAUUUAUAUCAUGGAAGUAAUCUUUGUUUUCAUUCAUUUGAAUAUAUUCAAUAGCAUUUUCUAAAAGGAAGAGUACCAUGAUAAAAGAAGUUUCUACAUUUUCUUUCUAAGUUUCCCUGCUGUAUAACAAUAUCCUUCUAUUAUAUUUAAAGAAAAGGCGGAUAUUCUCUGGUUAAAAUGGAUUCAAAUAUUAAAUAGAAUACAUAUACAAUAUCCAUAGAUGAAUAGGAUACUAACGACAUCGGAGAAACGGAAAAACUGUGGUAGUGGUUGAACACAAAUUUGGUAGACCAAGAAACCGGCGACGACCAAGAAACUGGCGAGCGUCACCUUAUCGCUCCGCCGCAACAGUUGCGGCAUUGACGCCAAAUUUUAUGAAUAGCUCAUGAAUGAAGGCAAUAUAUUUUUAUAUAUAUGCAGUAUACUUAAAUAAAACAAAAUGUAUGAGUAUAAAAAGUUAAAUAUGUCAAAUGGAAACAAAUGUUCAAUUCUUGGGAAAAGACUAGACAAGGAAAAAAAUCUGUGCUAGAUAGUAAACUAUAUAAAACACAGAAAUGUGUCCAAACAUGCUUGAGAGUUUAUAAAUUAGAUUGAAUACUAAUUGUUUUGUUGAAGAUAAAAUAAAUUAUUGAAAGAUACUGUUACUGAAAAAGGAAAAACAUAAUAUCGUAAAUUAAUGACUGAAACUUUAUUGAUUAAUUAUGUUAAAAGUAUUUGACGUUAAUCAAAUUGUAAAGAGGGGCAUGUAAUAUUUUAUUCCUUACUGACGUAUUGUAAUCUGGCGGUCGUAAUUGUUAUGGAAAAUUUAAUACUAUAAUUAGAACUAGCAUUGAUUGACAUAUACAGUAGUAUAAUUACGUUAAAAAUUUUAAACUAACUUUUGGUUUCAUACUUAAAUUUGAAAGAUAAGAAUAUAAUCAAAUUAAAUGCUAAUAUGGUAUUUAAUAAAAAAGGUACUAAUACUUUUCAUUUUGUUUGGUAAAGGAUUCUCUUCAUUAUAAAGCUUCAAAAUUUUAAUCUCAGUUAUCUUAAUGUUUUUUCUUACUUUGUCCUACCAAAUGUUUGUAAUGUGUGCGGAUAUCCUCUCGGGAGAAUGUUAAUUCUUGAACUUUUUUUCGUCAAUCGAUUUGUUCAAUAAGACACAUUAUUAUUAUAUAUAUACUAGUUAACUUGUCCACGCUUCGCGUGGACUAUAUAUGUCUAUCAAGUGUAAUUUUAUAAAUAAAUGAUUUUAAGAAUAUUAAUUUCUUUUAUCUUAUUCUAAGUUAGAUGAAUCCAAAAUUCACAAAUAAGCUUUUGAUUUUAACAAAAGGGUUAAAAAAAUUUUCUGAAAUAUAAAAAUAAGAAAUUGAAAAUUCUACUCUAUAUAUCAUAAUUAAUGACAUUUCAUUAGACAUAUAGAUUUUAUUUCUUUUUUAAUUUUUUCUUAGAUUUUUACUAAAUUUUAGUUUUAUAAAAAUUGAAAACCUUAUAAACAUAAGAAAUCUUAAACACUAUAAUAAUUAGCGAUAUUCUAGCAUAAUUUUUGUUUUUUUGAAAUGACAUUCUAAAUUUUAUCUCAAAUUUUGUUUCUUUUAACAUUUUAGUUAGAUUUUUUUUUAAAUUUUGGAAACAUAAGAAAUGGUAAAUUUUUAGUUUUUUGUGUUUUAAAAAAAAAACGUUUUUGUCUAAUUUUUUUCUAAAUUUUGGUUUAAUAUAAAUUUAAAAACGUUUUGAAUGAAAAAGAAAGAAAAAGUUUAACAAUUAUGAAAGUUGUGAGAGAAGUAGUGAAAAAUGGCUUAUAUUUAUACUAAAUUUUAGUUAACAUUUUAGUUAGAUUUUUUAUUAUUUCAAAAAUAUUAGAAUUGGUAAAUUUUUUUUUAUUAUUUUAGAAAAACGUUUUUGAAUACAUUAGAAAUGGUAAAUUUCGUUUUUUAUUUUUUUUAAACAAAAAUGUUUUUAAUUUUUUUGCCUAAAUUUUGGUUUAAUCUUAUUUUAAAAACGGUUUAAUUGAGUACGAAAUUAAGCAUUUAACCAUAAUAAUAUAGACCGGUUUGUUUUAAGUUUUUUUUACACAUCAGAUGUGAACUAAUUAAAAAAUGACACAUAAUUGGAAAAUAGGGUUAAACGGUCUUUUUGCGGCUGAAACUCAUUCUGGAGCUGACACGUAAGCGAAAAGAAGUGAAAGUCGCUGUGAACGCGACACGUAAACAAAUCAUUACACAAAUAAGUAUAUAGAUAUACAGUCCACUAUAUUUUGGAGUGUAUAAAUCGGUUUUGUUACAACUUACAAGUACAUAUAUUUUGCUUCAUUUGAAAUAUUUAGCUUCCAAUAAAAAAAAGAAGGGAUUAAUUUUCAAAAAAAGAAAAGAAAAAGAAGGGAUUGAUGUAAUCUUUUCGUGCAUCACUAAACCGGUAUUGACGAAGUGUAAACAUCGGUCUUAUUAGUCUUUUAGAGUGUACAAAUCGGUCUUAUUAGACUUUUUCACUCUUCUCUCCUGUAAUCGGCAUUUCAUUUGCUAAACCAAUCCUCAGACGCAGAUAUGUAAUAAAUGAAUGUAUUUACUUAACGAGAUUGGUUUUGCUAGACUCUUUUUUGGUCGGGAUCAGCAGCGACGUAAACGCAGACAAAUUGAGAAGCUUUUUUUGGGUAAAAUUUAAAGAUUAUAUUACUAAUUUUUGUUUUUGACAGAAGUAAUAGAGAAUACAAAGAAAACAGAUUAAACAAAAACUACAAAAUAACGAUAAAGAAAUAGCAAACCACAACGAAAGGUUAAGAAAAACGGCUCGAGAGGUUAAAAAAUUAAAACCGAAACAAUACCAAACGAGAACGCAGCAAUCACACGCCGAAACGUGGAUCAUCCCAUUUUGUCGUAGCUCCGAAGAUCUAGAACUCUCAUCAAUGUUGCCACGAGCAUCAACCCGAGGUCAGCCCUCAAACUUCAUAAGAGGACACUUAUAGCUUCUCUGAGAAUUAACGGGAUUUUCGAUUUCCGUAAUGGUCAAGCUUGCAACCGUUGACAAAGGAGGCCGAGCAGCCACUCGGAGCAUCACCUCAGACCGCCAUUCCCGCAAAAACGAAUGUCUGCAGGAACCAGCGCGCUCCCACAGCUACAAACAAGUUGUACCAACAAACCGGCGCCUCAACAAUCAUGUCCAGCAUUGCUCCACCAUCAACACCGGACCACACCCGGAGCCAACACGAACUAGGCUCUGAGACACUAACACGGGCCUAUUACACAUUUGUAAGAAACACAUACCAUUGGGGAUCCCGUGCCACGCCGAUGACGAAGACGGCAACGAAGCAAAAACCGUCAAAGCCGAUCAAAGUUACCGCCAAGCCACCCGACUAAAGCCACCACAGAAACACACCACUGGUGGAGCCGCACCCGCCAAAAAGGCGUGAGCCACCACUCUGAAGCUUGCCACCAGACAUAAGGCGACCUAGACAGCAAAACAGAGACCGAACCCGUCUUCAAAGUUCUAAACACCGUCACUGGAUCCGAGGAGGCCAGAUCUGCAAGCGCUAUCUCACCGCCGCGUCGGAAAUACCGAAGCUUGAGAGAGACCAUAAUCGGGGAGAGAGAAGAAAAGUCUACCAUCCAAACACCGAGAAUGACAGAAUGCACGCCGCCAGAGGAGGCCCUCAAAAGAAAUCUGAGCAGCUGUCCAGAAAAUCGUCAGAGAGCAAAGGAAGAAGCAGCGAAGACCUUUCCAGGCAGACAGAAGAGAGGCACGACCCAUGAAGGACACCUUCCUCCACCGUGACCCCAGCGACGCCGCUGAGCUCCUGCCGCCCUCGAAGAAGAGACACUCUUCGGAAAAGCUUCACCACGAUGCCACACCCAAACCAACGACCACCAAGCUGAAAGACAUAUCAAACAAAAAAGGGGAGCGAGGAGGUCCCUCCUCCGGCAACGGUGUGCCACCACGCGCGCUGGAGAGGGAGAUCGGAGUGUUUGAAGGUGUCUGCAAGAAGAAAAAAUUCUAGAUCUGAAAAAGCUCGGGAGAAAAAAAGGAGGAGAGAGAAAUCUCUAUUCUACUUAAUUUGUUCAAAUUGUCAAAACCGAGAAGUUGCGGCUGCAUGGGAGGGAGAUUCACAAUGGUAGCACAAUAGGCACAUCAAAACAGUGGCGGUCAGGAAUACUGUGAUCCUCUUCUUCAAUAUUGAUAAUGCUCCGCACAUGAACCAUGCAUGCAUAUUUCUCACAAGUAAUAUCUGCUAUUUCGCAUGGAACGUGUAAAGUGUAAACCUUAAUGAAGUCAUAUAUUUACGGAAGAUCAUUUAUAUCCUAUCGGUGAGUGAGUCAAAAUCAGUUAUCUUUGAUCAAUCUAUCUUUUUCGAUAGUUAAAUAUCAUCCAGAGUGAUUUACGAAACCUCCCGUAUGAAUAUCUCGCUUUUAUUACAUAACUGUCGUAUCAUUCUUCUUGGAAAAAUACAUUCUAGAAACCAACCUAAACUCUCAUCAUUUUUUUUUUUGGGAUUUUUCUGUUAGCAGCCAAACUCUCAUGUGACAUUGUCUUUGUGUUUAAAAACUUUUUGUUUUUUUUUUUUAAUCUAAAAUCUAUAUACUUAUUUGUGUAGUGAUUUGCUGAUGUGUCGCGCUCACAGCGAGUUUCACAGUUUUUCGCUUACGUGUCAGCUCCAGAAUGAGUUUCGGCUGCAAAUAUACCGUUUAGCUCCAUUUUACAAUUGCGCCAUUUUUUUAUUGGUUAUUAUUUGAUGAUGUGUAAAAAAUACGUAAAAUAAACCGAUCUGAAUUAUUAUGGUUUAAUACUUAAUUCCGUAGUCAAUCAAACCGUUUUAAAAUUUAUAUUAAACCAAAAUUUAGAAAAAAUUAGAGAAAACCAUUUUUUAAAAACACAAAAAAAUAAACCGGUCUAAGUUAUUAUGGUUUAAUUCUUAAUUCUAUAGUCAAUCAAACCGUUUUUAAAUUUAUAUUAAACCAAAAUUUAGAAGAAAAUACAAAAACAUUUUUUUUAACACAAAAAACUAGAAAUUUACCAUUUCUUAUGUUUCUGAAAUUUAGAAAAAAUCUAACUAAAAUGUUAAAAGAAAAAAAAUUGGAAUAAAAUUUAGAAUUUUGUUUUAAAAAAAAUGAAAUUUAUGCUAGAAUAUCGGCUAAUUAUUAUAGUAUUUAUAAUUUCUUAUGUUUAUAGGGUUUUUGAUUUCUAUAAUUUUAUAAAAACCAAAAUUUAGUUAAAAUCUAAGAAAAAAGUAAAAAAAAAAAAACAAGAAAUGAAAUCUAUAUGUCUAAUGAAAUGUCGUUAAUUAUGAUAUCAAAAUAUGAUUAGGAUUUUUGAUUUUUUAUCUAUAUACUUCAGAAAGAUUGUUUUACCUUUUUGUUAAAAUCAAAAGCUUAUUUUUAAAUUUCAAAAUUCGUCUUAAAACAGAAAUAAAGAUAUAUAUAUAUAUUUUUUUAAAUUAUUUAUUUAUAAAAUUAUACUUGAUAGACAUAUAUAGCCCACGUGAGGCGUAAACAAAUUAACUAGUUAGAGAAUAUAGAUAGACUUUAUUUAAAUAUUAUAUUGGUUUGGUUUGGUUUGAUUAGAUUUAGUUUGGUUUAGGAUAAUUUUUGGUUUAAUUUUCUUUGUUUACUUUCUUUUUUAAGAUUUAAUAUACGAGUGAACGACUAUGCGUUCCAUACUUCAAAAGGAAAAGAAAAGAGAGAGUGAUCAUACAGAAACUUGUUGCGAAGGAUGUUGUAUCAGGCCUCACGUGGUCCCCAUGAAAUUCCGACGUAUGAACUCUGAAAACUAUUCUCUCUUUGAUUAUGUUACACAAUUAUAAUGUGGCUAUGUUGUAACGGAGCGGAUAUCCGGAUACUUUUUUAUUAGAAACAUAUAUUUUAAUUUAAUUUUAUUAUAUUUUAUAAAUAAAAUUUUUAAUCUAUUAUAAUUUUUUUUAAUAUAUUUAAAGGUUAGAGAUUCGGAUAAGGAUAUCCGGACCUUAUAAUUUAACUAUCUGGAUUUGGAUCCGAUUUUAACGGAUACUAGAUUUUACUAUCCGGAUCCAGAUUCAACCCUCUUAGAUAUCUAGACUUUUAGGAGCGGAUCGGAGCAUAUCCCAUAUCAAAUCUUGGAUACUGAAUAAUAAUUCCAGCCUAGACAAUACUUAAUUAAUUAUGUUUUUUGAACAAUACUUUUGAACAAUAUUUUAUUAAUUAUGUUGUAUGGAAUUUGUAAUAAUCCAUUCUGAAAUAAGUGAAGUUUAAAAGGUUUUAUUUUGUUUUCAAAUAAGUGAUGUUCUCACAAAACAAUGCAAACUUAAUUAUUGUUGACUAUUUAUAAUUUGCAGGUUUUUUUUAUUGGUUGAUUUGUAUUUAAAUGAACAAUAAAUGAAGUUUUUAGUAUAGAAAAAAUAAAAAUAAAUAAUUCUUAAUCAGUGUGAAAAAACUUUAAAUAAUACUUUAUAUAUUAUAAAAUAUAAUUCGUUUUUAAUAUUUUUUCACACAUAUUAAAAAAAAAAUUUAAUUGUCUAUUUUACUUUUUAUUAAUAUACGAAUUAAUUUUUAUACUAAUUAAUUAGCUAUAAGUAUAAGGAUAAAAGUGGAUUUUUUUUAUAAAUCUUUGCAUUGGAAACCAAAAAAUACUUAUAUUUUGAAAUAAAAAAUCAAUCCUAAAACGACUUAUAUAUUAAAACAAAGGGAAUACUUAUAGAUGAUUUGACUAAAAAAAGAAAAGAAAAGACAAUAAUGAUUCUUACGCACAUGUUGUUAUUAUACUAUCUCUUUUUCAUAAAAAAUGUCAUUCUGAUAUUUUCUCCACAUAUUAAGAAAACUAUUAAAAAUACUACUUUGACCCUUAUUAAAUAAUUUUUUCUAACUGAUACAUUAAAUCAAUAGAGUUAAAAAGGUAUAUUAUUAAAAUUCUGCAUUGAAAAUAGAAAAAUAUACUUUUUGUGAAACAAAAAUAAAAUUUUAAAAUGACACUAUUUGUGAAACAGAGGGAGUAUUGUAUAAUAAUGAUUCUUAGGUGAUAAUGAAGAAACUGAAAACUUGUAUUAAUUCUCAAAUACUCCAUAUUUUUUAAUUAAAUGAUGUUUUUGCAUUGGACACAUAAAUUAAGAAUUUAAUUUCUAUUUUUUCCUAUACUAAAACUUUAAUUUUAUCAUUUUCAAUAUAAUACAACCAAUGAAAGAAUAAUUUGUAGAAUAUAAAAGUCAAAAAUAAUAAUAAUUAAUUAAAUUUGCUUUGAUAAAUGAGAACAUUACUUAUUUGUGAAAGAAAAAAAAUCCUCUAAAACAUCAGUUAUUUUAGAACGGGGAGAGUACUAAUAUAUCCAAUCAUACUUUUUAUGCAUAUUGACCUUGCUUCUUGAAUCUUUACCGCCCCACACUUUCAAAUAAAUGUCAUUUUCUCUGGCUCUCCAAUCCCACCUGCUUCCAGUACAUCUUUAAAACUUUCCUGUUUAAAUGCUGUAAAGCUCUGAUGAUGUCUAUAGUUAGGCCCUUGUUUCAACGUACACAUGAACCAUGUAUUCUCCCAAAUGUUAGUCUUAAAAUUUCUGCCCCAACUUGCUCCGGGUUCUAGUGUUCCUGGAGCUAUCCUGUCGUCUCCAGAGUAACAGCUAAACCAAAGUUUUUUCUUAUUUUGAAGUUCGUUCGAGAUAUUGAAUCCGGCACCUACUAAUUGUCCAUAUACAUGGCUAAUCAUGCAGAUGUUAAGAACAAAUAGAAAGAUUGAGAGAGUUUUCAUUUUGUUUUGUUUUUUUUUUGUUUUUAGGAUAUGUAGAUGUUUAGAUCUUAAAUUUGUUACUUUAAAUAUAUAUAACUAUAUUAAUUUCCCUAUUCUUAUAUAUAGGUUUUCUAUUAAUAGUACAAAGGACCAGGACUAUGAUUUAUGGUAGACAAGACAAAUAUAGGUGUAUGGACUUUGGGGCAAGAGGACCAGUUCAACUGUUCAAGUAUUUAGUUUUUCAAUGGAUGCAUGCAUGUCUUGAAGGGCUAAAUUAGAUGCGAAAUGUCAUGAAACAACCAUGAAGCCUAAAUUAUCGUCUUGCAUGUUUAUUGACAACAAUCAUGGAAGGCAAGCGUUAUUUUGUUUUUAAUUAAGUGAAACAACAUUUAUUAUCCGUGAGUUAUGCAGAAUUUUAUUUUUUAAAACAAAUAUUAGUAUGAAUCAUUAAACUGUUGUGAAAACUUCUUAGAAACUUUAUUAAUCACUGGAAUGUAUAUAUAUAGUACAUAGGGAAUCUAGGUUAAGUACAAUGCCCUGAUGGGCCUAAUGGGCCGGUAUAAGAGUCCAUAUAUGAUAUGUGUUAUAACACUCCCCCUUGGACGAGUGAACCGGGUCAGCUACUCAAUCGGGAUCUCGAUAAUGCGCUGGGGAAUGUUGCCUCAUUAAAACCUUACCAGGAAAAACCCAGUGGGACAAAACCAUGGUGAAGGAAAAAGAGUACAACACGCAUUACUCCCCCUGAUUGUAGCAUCACUGCAGAUCUCUAAGUCUAUACAUUCCUAUCUGUUUGACGAGCUUCCGGUGUGUUGAAGUAGGCAAUGAUUUGGUGAAGAGGUCAGCUGAAUUCUCACUGGAUCGGACCUGCUGAACGCUGAGAGUGCCGUCCUUCUGCCAGUCUGAGGUUGAGAAGAACUUCGGUAGAAUGUGCUUCGUCCGAUCUCCUUUGAUAUAUCCUUCCUUGAGCUGAGCUAUGCAUGCCGCGUUGUCUUCAUACAUCACCGUGGGCUGUGUGUCUUCGUCCAUACCACAAUCUCUGCGGAUGUGCUGAGUCAUGGAGCGCAGCCAGACGCAUUCCCUACUAGCCUCAUGAAUGGCUAGGAUUUCAGCAUGGUUUGAUGAAGUGGCAGUGAGUGUCUGCUUCAUUGAUCUCCAAGAGAUGGCUGUUCCUCCAUGCGUAAAAACGUAGCCAGUUUGAGACUUGGCAGUGUGCGGAUCUGAUAGAUAUCCUGCAUCGGCGAAGCCGACUAACCCAUCUUUAUUUUGGUUAGUAUAGAAGAGUCCUAAGUCUUGAGUACCUUGAAGGUAUCUUAGGAGAUGUUUUAUACCGUUCCAGUGCCUCUGAGUUGGAGAUGAACUAUAUCGAGCGAGGAGGUUCACGGCGAAACAUAUGUCUGGUCUAGUGUGACUAGCCAGGUACAUUAACGCUCCUACAGCACUGAGGUAUGGCUUUUCAGGACCAAGGAUUUCUUCAUCAUCCUUUUUGGGACCAAGAGGGUCAUCACUUAAGCUUCUAACUACCAUUGGGCUGGUCAAUGGGUGAGCUUGGUCCAUAUUAAAUCGCUUGAGUACCUUUUCGAUAUAAGCCGAUUGAUGCACAAGGAUUCCUCCUUUGAUGUACUCAAGUUGUAAUCCCAAACAGUACUUUGUUUUGCCUAGGUCUUUCAUUUCGAAUUCUGCUUUUAAGCAGUCGACUGUUUGGGAGAUCUCACCAGAUGUUCCGAGGAUGUUUAGAUCAUCCACGUAUACUGCUAUGAUUACAAAUCCUUUGUUUGAGUACUUCUUGAUGAAGAUGCAUGGACUGAUGGGGUCAUUUUUGUAGCCUUCUUUGAUGAGGUAAUCGCUGAGGCGGUUGUACCACAUACGCCCACUUUGUUUCAGUCCAUACAAGAAUUUGUUCAGCCUGAUGCAGUAUUGAUCUCGAGAUGCAUUUUUGUCUUUUAGUUCAAUGCCAUCUGGGAGUCUCAUAUAUAUUUCGUUUUCCAGGGGCCCAUAGAGAUAUGCGGUUACAACAUCCAUUAACCGCAGAUCAAGAUUUUCUCUUAUGGCCAGACUUAUGAGGAAUCGGAAUGUUGUUGCAUCCACCACUGGAGAAUAAGUCUCCUCAUAAUCGAUUCCGGGUCUCUGUGAGAAUCCUUGUGCUACAAGCCGUGCUUUGUAUCGAACGACUUCACCGAGUUCGUUCCUUUUGCGCACAAAGACCCAUUUGUGGCCCACUGGCUUGAUGUGUGAUGGGGUCCGGAUGAUCGGACCGAACACGUUUCUGAGUUUGAGACUCUUUAACUCCACGUUUAUGGCUUCUUUCCAUUUUAGCCAAUCUGUUCGAUGUGUACACUGUGUUAUUGACGUGGGUUCUAGAUCCUCUUGCGUGAGCGCAACAUCAAGUGCUACUUUGUAUGCAAAGAGUGCAUUUAAGUCGACUUCUUUUCGAUUCCAUUGUAUUCCGGACAUAUUGUAAUUGAUGGAGAUCUCAUUGUUAUCUUCUGAACCUGGAGAUUCGGCGUCCCGAACUUCCAUUGAGGGUUUAUUAGAUUGAGUCUCAGCCGCGGCUAUGUAUGAUAUUGCAGGAAUCCCGGUUUCGGUUAUUGCACCUUUCUUUGAUUUCCGGGGAUUCUUAUCUUUGGAACCGAGAGGUCUGCCCCGUUUGAGACGUGGUGCAGACUCUGUAGCAACUUGGGUCUGUCCCGUUGGGACAGCUAUUCGUACUGGUGCAUUACAAGCUGGGAUGUACGAUUUGGUUACUUUGGUCGGGUCAGCAAAGGAAUCUGGCAAUUGAUUAGGUAGCUUUUGAUAAUGAAUAAUCUUUUGGAUCUCUGAAUCACAUUCUAGAGUCCGAGGAUCUUGCCAAUUUAAUGAUGUUUGAUUCCAUGAAAGAUCUUUGACCAGCUUGUUUGUCUCACCACCUAAAGAGGGAUAUACCGAUUCAUCGAAUUGGCAAUCCGCAUAUCUGGCCUUGAAGAGAUCUCCAGUGGUUGGCUCGAGAUAUCUUAUGAUGGUGGGAGAGUCAAAACCAACAUAUAUUCCCAUCCUUCUUUGAGGUCCCAUUUUGGUUCGAUGUGGUGGAGCAAUGGGUACAUAUACUGAACACCCAAAUGUUUUGAGAUGGGAGAUGUCUGGCUCAUGACCCGAGAGUAGUUGGGAUGGGGAAUAUUUGUGUUCACUAGAUGGCCGGAUGCGUAUGAGUUCAGCAGCAUGUAAUACUGCAUGUCCCCAUGCUGAGGCCGGGAGCUUUGAUCUCAUGAGUAAUGGUCGGGCUAUCCAUUGAAUGCGUUUAAUGAAUGAUUCAGCCAAUCCAUUUUGAGUAUGGACAUGUGCUACAGGAUGUUCCACGGUUACCCCCAUGGCCAUACAGUAGUCAUUAAACGCUUGUGAGGUAAAUUCACCAGCAUUGUCAAGGCGGAUAGUCUUUAGUGGGAAGUCAGGGUAAUGGGCCCGCAAUUUUAUGAUUUGGGCCAAGAACCUAGCGAAGGCUUGGUUCCGAGAGGACAAGAGACAAACAUAUGACCAACGGGUCGAUGCGUCUAUAAGGACCAUGAAGUACCGGAAUGGUCCGGAAGAUGGGUGUAUAGGUCCACAGAUAUCGCCCUGGAUUCUUUCUAGGAAAUGAAGUGUUUGUUUAGAGAUUUUAACUGGUGAAGGCCGAGUGAUCAAUUUGCCUUGAGAACAAGCUGUGCACAUGAGGUGUUGAGGAUAAGCUCGGUUUUCUUUGAGGGUAUGCCCUUGAGAGUUUUGAAUUAGUUUACGCAUCAUAUUUGCACCGGGAUGACCGAACCGGUCGUGCCAAAUAGUAUAAUCAGUAAACCGGGCUUUGAGAGUGGUAUUAGCUUCAAUCAUACUGACUUUAGCAUGGUAAAGUCCAGUAGAGAGCGCGGGUAUGGUUUCGAGGAUUUGUUUAUGGCCGUCUACGGUUUUAGUGACUAGGAGGGAUUCUUUGUUCCCUUGACCUUGGGUUUCUAUGUGGAAACCAUUCUGUCUUAUAUCCUUGAAGCUCAGAAGAUUUCUCUUCGAACUAGGAGAAUAUAGAACAUCUGGUAUUUCAAGUUGUGUGCCAUUUGAUAGCAACACAUAGGCAUGGCCAUAUCCUUCGAUAAGGUUUGAGGGACCCGCGAUGGUGCUAAUAUUUGCGGUUUGAUAGGUUAGGUUUAUGAAGUAACUUUUGUUUCUUAAGAUAGUGUGGCUGGAUCCACUAUCUACGACUAUGGUUUCCAUUUGCUGGUGUGCUUUUCCACCUUUGGAUUUCUGACAGGCUAAUGAAACUGGGAGCUAAUAGACCUCAGUUAGCCGCUACAAAUUCCAAGGAUUGAUCACCAAAACUGGAGAAGCUGCUGGUUGAAGAAGGAAAAACUCGGAUCUGCUUUUUUUUUUUUUUUCGGUUGAUCGUCGUGUACUGUAAGUGUGCGUGAGGGCGCGUCCGACGUUGGAUCGACAAACGGUUUUCACCAGUAGAUUCGUCUCGUCGAGGGCUUCGAUUUGAUAUGUAGAUCGUCUUCUGGUUCCUCACGGUUUGGAAGAUAUGCAUCUUUUAAGUUUCGACUUGCUUUUAGGGUUUUGGUGGUGGCCGGAUUUAUUAGGGUUUUUCGCUCAGAGAGUCUUAUCGUGCUGAUAACGUGUUGUGAAAACUUCUUAGAAACUUUAUUAAUCACUGGAAUGUAUAUAUAGAGUACAUAGGGAAUCUAGGUUAAGUACAAUGCCCUGAUGGGCCUAAUGGGCCGGUAUAAGAGUCCAUAUAUGAUAUGUGUUAUAACAAACAACUAUUUCAUCUUAUUUGUCUUUUUUUAUCUUUCUUAACCUUUUUUUACAUCUUCACAUUCUUAUAUUUUUUCAUCUUUGUCUUCUGGCCUCUUUCCUCAUCUUGAACAUUUUUAUUCUUAUAUUUCCAAAAUUUCUCUUUAUUAGCUCAGUCUUCUUUUUCCUCCUCUUCUUUAUCUUUUUUUUUUUUCAUAUAUCUCUCCAUCGUCUUCGACUUCUACUUCUUUUGAUUUAUCCUCUUUAUCUUCUUCGACUUUUUUUUUUUUUUAUUCCAGGUUUUCUUCUUUUAUCCUCUUUGUCUCUUAUUCUUACUAAUCUUGUGUACGUAUUUUUCAUCUUCUACUUCAUUUUCAUCUAUUUCAUUUUCUUUACAUUUUAUUUUUUCUUUUUUCUCCUAUUUUUUUUUACUAUUUUUUAUUGUUUUUUAACUUUUUUUUCACCAUCGUCGUUUUUUCCAUUCUUUUUUCCAAGUUUUUACUCUUUUUCUAUUUGAUGAAAAAUAAUAAUUAUAAAAAGUCUAUCUAUUAGUUGAGUCAUUAACUUUAGUUUUAGUGUUCUUGUUUUCAUUUAAAUGAAAAUUAAUUAUUAUUUUAAAAUGCAUGAAUUAAUUAAAUUAUUAACUUUAAUUUUUAUUUUUUGUUGAUGUGGAUACCCUAUAUGAAAAGAAAACUCUCCUAUUAUAUAUAAGAUUUUUUAAACAGAAACUAAAUCAACAAAGGAAAUUAAGCUUAAAGGAAAUCAUGAAGAAAAGACAAACAAAUAGAAUGGAAAUUACUAACAAUAGGAAAUAGCAAUUUACUAUUGUUUAGAAUCACAACUCUAUAAAUAAAGUUCAAGGCUCAACGUUUAAUGUAUUAGAAACAAAGAUCAUAUACAAAGAGAGAAAAGAGAAAAAAAUUAAUCAAGAGAGGGAAAAGUUUUAUACAAAUCAUCACAAAAUCCCAACAAACCCAUUAAAAAAGGUGAACACUGGGUGUUUUGGUUUGAUUUAUAAAUUCGCUAGCCUAGGGUUUGUCGAUUGCCAAAGGUUCAAAUCCCGAAGUCGUUCGUUAGGGCUAGCUUUUCGGAUCUCUCUCUCCGAAACCCUAAUUAGUCAUUAACCUGAUAUUGAUUUUAAAGUUUCGAAAAAAACAAUGUCCAGUCCGAUGGAGAUUAAUGAAUUGCAUUCGGGGCAAAACAAGACUAGCGAAAUCAUUCAGCCACCUGCGGAUAAAUUCACUAGACGUAUAGUGGAGCAAGCGGCAAGUUUAGUUUCCAAGAAGGGGUUGGAGUUUGAGAGUAAGAUCGAGCCCAAAGAUGCAAGAUUCAACUUUUUGAGGGAUCCAACAGAUGCUCAUCACGCCUAUUACAAGCACAAGCUCGCUGAAAACGUGCACGGAACCAAAACCGAGAUCCGGAUGAUGAUAGUGUUGAUUAUGAAGGUUUUCUCGAGCCUGAGGAUCAUCUAAGGAGUCUUGAGAUCUUUGACACGCCUCCACAUGUGAGAAUUAAUACUCUUAUCGAGAGGACGGCUCUAUUGGUUGCCCAAAACGGGUCUGAGUUUGAGAGUACGGUCAUGAACCGUACUGCGGAUGAUCCAAGAUUCAACUUUCUCAACAUCCUAGAUCCUGAUCACGAAUUUUAUAGUAGCAAGCUUCGUCAUUACUCUAAGUAUCCAGGCAGACGAGCUCAACGUUUGAAUGUUGUGUUGUAUCAAAUGCACAUUGUGUACUCCCUGAGUGUGUACGCCCUAAAGGGAUGAAGCUCAUGGAGCUUGACACUAUUAGGAUCACAGCAAAGUUUGUGGCCUGGUACGGGGAAGAUGUAUUUUUGGGGGAACUGGCCAGAAGAGCUAUGACAAAGCCUCACUUUCAGUUUCUAAAGCCCACUGAUAGGUGGUUCCCUUUUUUUAAAGAAGUUGUUGCUUCGUGUUCGCAGGUAUGGAAGCCCCCCCAAGAUUUGAAUGAAGAUCUGAGAAAGAAUCCUGAUCAAAUGGAUUCCAUUUUUAAAGAUUUAUUCUUGUUUACUCGUUUCCAUGAGAUUAAUAUAAAGCUUGAUUCUCGGGCCAAAAUAUAUUUUGCUAACAAGGAGUUGCCACCAACUGUGGAACAAAAGUUUGACGAGUUAGCCCUUGUUCCAGCCUUCCAGGCCAGUUUCUUGCUCAACAUCCGGUAUAAAUGUUUUCUUCAGACUCUUAUAGAUAGCUUUUUUUUCCUUCUACUACUUUUCUUGAGUUGUAUCCAAUCUAAUCAGCAGCAGUCAAUCGAGAAUGUUAAUUUGUUCUUGAACUUUUUUUCGUCAGUCAAUUUUUUCAAGAACCUUAAGAUGCAUUUUCAUAUAUAUAGUCCAAUAUUAUAUUUUAGUGUAUAAAUCGGUUUUGUUACAAGGACUUAACUUUUGCUUCAUUUGGAAUCUUUAGCUUCCAAUAAAAAAAAAAAAAAAAAAAGAGAUUGAUGUAAUCUUUUCUUGCAUCGAUCACUAAACCCUUGUCUUCUUAGUUUUUUUCACUCUUCCCCAGCAAUGAUCCGGUGAUCGCCAUCUCAUUUUCCGGCCAUCGACUGUCCCAGCCGCAGAUAUGUAAGCGUUCCAAUCCUCAAGCACUUGUCUCAAAUCAAAAAUCUUGUUCUGUAGACCAAAACAACAAUUGGCAUGCAUAGUGAUUACUUUGCUCAUCUCACGCCUCAUUUGACAGAAUCCUCGGAAGUAAACCGUGUCGAGAAACCUUAUCGUAAGCCCGAGUUUUUUCGUGAUAUAACGGUCGUGUUUGAUCUUGUUGAACACGUCCUGAUCUUUCUUGCCUCCGAAUCUCGACCUUGAACUGUACCAGUAAUUGUAGAACUUGACAGUUCUUUGGUUGGCUUGGACGAAAUAGAAACCGGUAUUGACGAGGUUUCUCUUGUCCAUAGAGUUGCCAUUGUAGCUGUCACAAGAGACUUGGAAAUCUCCUUUUGAAAAUAGACGAGGAAAUGGAUCUCGAAGCCACAUUAUAUCCAUGUCCUAUUUUCCAAUUUCAAGAACAAUUAACCUAAAAAAUAGGUACAAUAUAUAUCUAAUCAAAUUUCAAGACUACCAAUUUGGACCUAUGUUUUAUUUCACCAUAAUUAAUUAGCGCUAUGGUUAAAACCUCAAAGAAUAAAAAGUCAUCCACUCAUUUUGAGUUGAAAAGUUAAUGAUUUCUAAAUAUUCACGUGAAAUAUAUAGAUAGAUACCGUGGAGAUGAAGCUAUAUCCGAGCUUCAAGAGGGAGCCCAAGAACUCAAUACGACGCCACAUCAUUUUGAGAUAAUCUUGCGUCAUGUAGUUCUUCUGGCCGGAGAAAUCAACUCCUGCGGUCUUCAAGAAGUAGCAACGGUGGGGAUAGACUUUCAAGCACCGUGAGUAGGCUUUCUCGUCUAGACAUAUCACCACAAGGUGACGGAGCAACCGCUUAGUCCCUUGGCCGACGUGAAAGCUCUCGAUAAACAAGUCGAAUAUCGAGUUUGGUUCAGCCCAGGCCCGGUUUAAGAAAGUUAUUAUAACCGUUUUCUCCUCUGUCGCUGCUUCUCUCAUGAUAUCUUCCAAACUUCUCACAUCUUUUGAUUCAUACUGCCCAAAAACACAAUAAAUCAAAACUUAUAUGAGCCAAAAGAAACACCGGUCAAAGUAAACGCAAUUUGCCUUCGAAAAAACAUGUUUGCAUCCAAAAAAUGUUAUGUAGUAGAUAAAUGUAAGUUACUUAACGAGAUUGGUUUUGUUAGAGUCUUGUUUGGUCGGGAUCGGCUGCAGCGACGUAAACGCGGAAAAACCGAGAAGCUGCGGCUGGAUGGGAGAUUCCCAACGGUAGCACACUAGGAGCAUCAAAACAGUUGCGGUUAGGAAAACUGUGAUCCUCUUCAUAUCUCUCCUCCCGAUUAUCAACUGUUCUCGCCGCAGCGAAUUGUUGUUGCAACCUUCUUCGGUAAUGCUAACGCUCCGUACAUCAGCCAUAUUUGUUUCUCACAAGUGACAUCAAUUAUUUCGAAUGGAACGUAUAAAAGCUUAAUUUAAUCAUAUGUUUACGUGAGAUCAUAUAAAUCCUUUUGGUGAGUGAGUAAAUUUAGUUAUCUUUGAUCUAUCCAUCUUUUUCGAUACUUUAAUAUCAUAGAGAGAGAGAUUUACGAAACCUCCAAUGUAAACAUCUAGUUUUUAUUAUAUAUGUGCCGUCUUUGUUAAUGAAUCUUUCUUCUUGGAAAAUUACAUUCUAUAUAUAGUUCAUCCCAAAAUCUCUUCUAACCUUGUUUUUCUUGUUAUGAUUUUUUUUUUUUAAGACACCAUCUUUUUGUUUCUGUCAAGCAUAUAUAAAAUUUACAACACAUGUGGUCUGAUGCUCAUCAAGUCAUCAUACUUUUAGUCUUUGUAUAAUCACAAAAUUCGAGUUUUGUUUAUAGCCGUAUAAUACGUACCAUCACAUGUUUUGUCUUGACCGGAAAACAAAAACAAAGUAUAUUCAUAUAAUUACUUGAUAACCAUAAACCAUGUAAAUAACAACAUUAAUCAUCGCCAGUUUUCAACUUUUAACUAGAUUAAUAAAUAAUAACUGAUCGAUGUCCGACUUUCACCAAGCGCAUUUAUAAUUUUUUAAAAUGUAGAACUCAUUAUAGAUCUAAACGUAAUUUUUUUACCGAGCUAGACCAUUUAUCAUAAGGUUUUCAUCAUAUAUAGGUUUAUGUAAUUAAUUUCACUAUCUAAUAUCUAUCACUAUAUACUUGGAUAUUAUUUCGUUUGGUCCGUUUAUAUUGAUAUUUAUAUAAAAGAAAUUAAGAAAUAUAUAAGAAUACGUAUUUUAUCGUAUUGAUACGUAUUAUUUUGUUCUGCCCGUGUAUAUUCAUACGUGAUAAAAAGAAAAGAGAAUACGUAUUGAUUCUCCGGAUCCGGUUGACACAUAAAUGCAGUAAGCUAGCAUUGGAAGAAAAGUGAAUGACUUGAGCAAAAACGUAGUGAUACCACUAUGUAACCAUCAAGCAAAAUAAAGAAUACUCUUUUGAUACGUUCACACCUAGGAGUUUACUAUUCCAAUGUAAUGUUGUGUCCACUCCAAGAAAUUCCAGUAAUUUAAUUGCGAGAUUCGAAAUCGAAAAUGCUGCAAAUUUCACAUUGGUUGAAUUUUUUUUUUUAUCUUAUAAGAAAUCGACUGAAUACAUGUCCAUCGUUUAAAACAAUGAAGACAAUAAUUUUGAUAACUUUUCGUACGCAAUAAUGCAUAUGUCCUCUCCUACUUUAUUCCUCGUGAUACACAUUUGAUAAAACCUUUUGUUCCUUAUCUUUAAAAUGUGGCAUGAGCCUUAUAGCCUUACCACAACCAACCAAACCCAAACAACGCAAAAGUAAAAAAAACCUUCAUGUUCUUGUAUAGAUCCCUAAACCAUUUCCUUUCCAGAUUCCUCCAUUUCGGGAAACGACCAGAGCCAACGACUCAAUCUCCUACAUUCCCUCAAAACCAAUCAAACCCACCAGAGAAAACAACCACCGUGAAGAUGUCAAAACUCGACGGCGUAGAACAUAAAACACUCAAUGUUAACGGCAUAAACAUGCACUACGCAGAGAUAUCCGGAUCAGGAAGAGACCCGAUCAUCCUCUUCAUCCACGGAUUCCCUGAGCUUUGGUACACGUGGCGGCACCAGAUGGCUGCGCUUUCCUCCUUGGGAUACCGUACGAUCGCGCCGGAUCUUCGAGGGUACGGUGACACAGACGCGCCGGAGAAAGUGGAGGAUUACACUUACUUAAACGUGGUCGGAGACUUGGUGGCACUCAUCGACGCCGUGACGACGAGCGGAGACGAGGCGGUUUUCGUGGUGGGUCAUGACUGGGGAGCGAUGAUUGCGUGGCAGUUGUGUCAGUACCGACCGGAGAAAGUCAAGGCUCUGGUCAACAUGAGUGUUGUGUUUUCUCCGAGGUAUCCAGAUCGAGUUCCGGUUCCGACGUUGAGACAUGUCUUUGGUGACGAUUAUUACAUCUGCAGAUUUCAGGUAAUUAAUAGUUUAAUUUGUUGCCCUAAUGUUCUUUCAUUUGGAUUGGUUUGCAAGUUAAAGACUUGUAUCAACCUAAACCGAACUAAAUUAAAUUAGACCAACCCAAACCAACAUCGUCUAAUAAGUUUUCGUUGUGGUCAGUAUAAUUAAAUAAGGGAUACAAAAACAAAAUUAAAAAUGACUUACUGGAUUAGGAAUUUAGGAAACGAGCUAUGUUGACCAAAAGUAAAUUUAGUUUUUGUUUACUCAAGUCUCAAACCAUAAUAAUCAAAUCAAACUAAAGUAAACCAGAUCCGUCUGUGAUGACUAUCAUGAUGAAACCGAAAUCGAAAACCGGAUCAAACUAAUUAGGCUUUGUUUGAGUUUUAUAAGUUGCUCUCCAACCAAGCGAAAUGGGACCGAAUAAAACCAGAAAUUCUGAACCGGAAUGUCCACCUUUAAAAUUUCAUACGACUCUUUAUAAUAACUACAUAAAAAAAAAAAACUCUUACCGGUUGGAGAAAAAUCAAAACUGAAUGAAAAUUAGGGAAAAUUCUAGUUUGGUUGAUGAGAAAUGGAUUUUUAUAAUUCUAUCAUAUAAAGGACUAUAUAAAUCUAAAUGUAAAAGAAUAAAUGUAUAUGAGUGAUUAUUUUUGUGAUUUAGAAACCUGGAGAGAUAGAAGCAGAGUUCAAAAAGUUGGGAACAGAGAAUGUGUUGAAAAAGUUCCUCACCUACAAAACGCCUGGCCCGCUUUACCUCCCAAAACCCAAACUAUUCAAACGCUCAGAAAACGCAGCGUCUGCGUUACCACCGUGGUUAACACAAGAAGACCUCGACUAUUACGUCAACAAGUACGACAAGAAAGGCUUCACUGGACCAAUUAACUACUACCGCAACAUUGACCGGUACGCAUAUUUCCCCGGUUUAAUAAGUUAAAUCACAGAUUUAACCAAUCGGUCUAAAUUUGGUUUGAUUUUUAUAACAGAAAUUGGGAGCUGACUGCACCGUGGACCGGUGCUAAGAUCAGUGUACCGGUGAAGUUCAUAGUCGGAGAUCAAGAUUUGACGUACAAUUCGCCGGGAGCUAAGGAAUACAUUCACGGUGGCGGAUUUAAGAGAGAUGUACCGUUGCUUGAUGAAACCGUCGUGCUCAACGGAUUGGGACAUUUCCUCCAUGAGGAGAGCCCUGACGAGAUCAAUCAACAUAUUCACAACUUUUUUCAAAAGUUCCUUGAAAAGUAAAAAACCACUCGUGUGUAUUUGAAACGUUCAAAUAAAAGAGAAUAGCAUUCGUGUGCACUUUACAAUUACAUGUAAGAUCGAUCUUGUUCACUUAGAAUUUCAAAUGAACAGCAAAUAAAGCCCGGGAACUCGAAUUCAGCUGGACUAAACCGGAAAUAACAUGAAACAUAGAGCUGAGAAUUUAAAACCGGUUAAGGGUAGAUGUUUUUGUGAGAAUGAAAAAGCACCACUGUAAAUAGAUUACAAGACAAUGCCAAAGGCUGCAUUGUCUAAGAAAGCUUGUAAGUAGAAGAAAGAAACACACUGGACAAACACAAAUGCCGAUAUCAAACAGAAUCGGAUCGGAUGAGAAUGUUAUCAGAGAGAAGAGGAGGCUUGGUUACGCAAUUCUUGAAGGCGAUUGGCGUGAUCAGCAUUGCAGUACAUAAAGCUCUUCUUGCCAGAUCCUGUGAUAGUUUCCACGGUGGAGAAUCCCAAGUAUUCUUCCUCGCACUUCUUUUGGCAAAUGUUAGCCAUGAACUUGAACAUCUCGUUCUUCUGGUUCCAUGGUUGGUCUACAUAUUCUUGGAUCGGCAUCCACUGUAGGUGAAAAACGAUAUAUACCAACCAGCUCAGGUGACGGUAACUUAAACAUUUUCUUGGCUCAUCAACAGUGAAAGAAGUUAGAAUACCUUAGCUUGCAAAAUCUCAGAUUUUUGUUCAGUGAUUUCGUAGGAGCGUGGACUUAAGACACAAAGGAAAAACAGAUCCGAUUUCUUUUUCAAGAAUGAUUUGUGGCUUUGCCUACGAGUACACAGAGUUAAUCAAUAAAGAACCGAUGCGGUAAGCUAGAUCAAAUGUUUUCCAAGGCAAUGAAACAUAAUUUACCUGAAAGACAACACUUCAACAAAAUCUGCAACAAUCUGAAGUAAAUAACGUCCAAUGAAAAAAAACACAGAUUUUAGAAUAAAAUGGAAAGUAAAAGAUCGUUAAAAUAGAUAAAUUUGUUUCUGAAAGCAGGAUAUAUACACCAGUUUCUUCUUGCACUUCCCUAGCUACUCCAGUGCAGAUAUCCUCACCCUGUGGAUUUGGAAUGUUAUAAUUAGAAGCAGCAAGAAAAAUAAAACGAACACAACUUCAUUUCUGCCAUUCUCCUUUUAAUUUCAAACUUGAUCAUCAAUUCUCUUUCCAGGGACAAAUGUUUGAUACUAUCGCAAAUAUGUAUACCAAGCUGACUAGCCAAGUCGUGAACAGAAUUUAUGAUGUAAAAAAUUGAUCUGAGUUAUUGUAAACACUUUUAAGGUUCAGCGUCGAACAGAAGCUGUCAAAACUUGUUUUCUUCUCCAAAUCACCACCAAGAUAGACUGAAAAAAUAAGAAACUCUCAACUCCCCUAGACAAUAUGCUUAAGACCAUUUACAAGCCAAGCGCUCACUAAUUGCUCUCUAACCGACUUACUACAUCUACAUUCAGUCCUAGCUUUAGAUAUAAGACUAUCAUUCAGUCCUAGCUAAGAGUUAUUUUCUUAAGAAAAUCGAUGUAACUCACCUCGUUGACAACACCGGUAGGCAGCUUCCACACAUUUUUAUCUUUGAAAUAACCACUCUUUUCCUGGACAACGAGAACCUGCGCCCAUUGAAGAAAUGUUUUCAUAAACAAACAUAAUUAUUAUUCAUUUAAUUGUUAUUCUGCUCUUCUUGAGUCCCCAUGAUUUAAACAAGGGAAUCAAAUUAAUUGGUCUUUACCUCUUUAGUAUUCUUGUUGAUGACCAAAGCACCGACACCAACAACAUGAGAAGCAUUGGCUGGGAUGGUAUCAUCAGUUUGAGAGAUCCAAGAUACAACCAUCAAGUAAUCAGGCUCAGCGUGGUGAUAUCUAAACCCUUCCUGAAGAAUUAUAAUCACCAAACACAAACAUCAUUUCUAAAAAAAACUCUUACCAAAACUCAAGGAUUCCAAUAAAUCAUUAGCAAACCCUCUUACACUAACUGCAGGCUCUACAAGAUUAGCAAAUUUAAGAGGCAGCUUUAUCCAAAUUCCCUUCUUUCCCUGCAAAUUAACACAAAAAAAAAAAAAACGAAGACUUUCAUAUGAUUUCAGACCCUUAAGAGCUCACAAUAAGAAAAGGAGAAACUUUAUUAUAGAAUGAAAUCUGAAAGUGGGGUUGUGGUAAAAUACCUCUUCUCUCCAAUGCGAAAGCGAAGCCUUAAGCCUUUCGGUGAAAACCUCAGCAUCCAUGGGUUCCUCUAUGGUAACGGUAACGCCAUUGAAAUUGUCAGUCUCACCUUCAAGUAAAAGGAUCUGAUUCUCCAUCACAAUUCAACUCUCUUUGGAUUAAGCCGAAUUUGCUCCAAAGUAUCUAGCUUGACGAUAUUUUUUAUCAAAAUCGAGCUGAACUGAAUUGAAUUGAAUUGAAUGGUCUCUGCCUCUCUGGGAAAAGAUCGAACUCAACAAGACUUUAUAAGGGAAGGUGAAUGGUAGACAUUGACUUGGUUCGACAUUUUCCAGGAACACUGGCCAGAACUUUACUUUAAUUAAUCUUAUAAAAAAAAUAAAUUAGACGAAGGAACGUUGAAUCUUCCCGUCUCAGAGGGUUUGUA
rnacentral:lncRNA from 1 species